UUCUCGGGUCUUAGUGUUCAAUAUAAACUGUGGUUCAUAGUGUUUGUGCAUUGUGUGUCAAGUUAUCUAUCAUUCUAUCUUAUUAUUGUUGUUGUGUUCAUUCUCAGAUUUAGGUGUCCAAAUCCGAGACCUUGUUGUGUCAUUUUUGUUCUUGUUAUUGUGUUGUAAUAUUAGUUUGUGGCUCGUUGAUUAUAGGUAUUGAACACCUUAGAAUCUUGUUGUUAUCGUGUUUGUAUUGUUAUUGUGUAGUGAAUCCGAGAGGGAUCACCAAAAGGGGUCCUCGGUUCUUCAAAUCAUGGACUGUUUUGGUGUGUGUUAGUGUCUUCCUUGUCAAUCUUGUAUCAUGUACCAACAUACAAAUUUUUAUCUUUAAUUACUUUUUCUUAACAUCUACUAUCUAUAAAAUUUAUCCCAACUACAGUAUGGAAUACACCGAACAAUCUAUUCAAGCAGAAGCAAAAACUAAACCAAGGUAAUCAAAAUGAAUUAGUUAGUGAUUGGAUAAAAAUUAAACUCAAAUACGUACAGCUAGCUCAGAUAAACUAAAACUAACUUAGAUCAAUACUAAUUAUUAGCUCAAGUUCGCACAUGGCUAGCAAAGUGUGCAUAUUGAACUUAAUUAACAUUUUUGUUGAUGCAAAGAAAAUAUUAUAAAUAAAGCAUGUAUACAACCACAGUAUAUUUAUAACUAAUUGAAAGGAAUAAAUAUUGCUGCCCCAUUAAUGAUUUAAAAAUAAGUAUCCUGAAAUUAGUAGAUGUCAACAAAAAAAUAAUUAUUUGACUAAUUUCUUAACCCAUGCACACAAUAUUCAAUACAAAUUAAAAAAUUAUGGAUAAUCAUGAUCACUAAUGAAUUUUUAUUUAAAUAAAUAUAACAUGAUUAUGAAUUAAAUCGGGUUUGGUUUUCUUGAUUAUAUAUGACCCUUUCGAGAAUAUUAAAAUUAAGAUAAAAUUGUGAUGAAGAAAAAUAUUUAAUUAGCAUGAUUUUUAUAAAUUGGAAAAAACUAUAUAAAAUUCUAUUUUAUUUGGGAAAGUUUUUUUUUCAAAUUUCUUUUGGAAUCUGAAAAUAGGAUUUUUGUUUUUUUUUAUACCAAGCCUAUUUUAGUUGAGAAAGAUUUUCUUUUUGCCAAAUUUUAUUUUAGGAAAAGUUUUUAUUUUUAAUUAUAAUUAAUAUUUAAUAUCAUUAAAAUAAAAAAAAUAUUGAAAAGACGAUUUUUUCUAAAGUGAAGUCUUUUAAUGAAGGGUAAAAAGUUCAAAAUCACUUUGGUAAGGGUCUUUACGUUUUUAAUAUAUUUUAUAGAUAAUUGUAGUAGGUCUAAUUAAAUAUAUAACAUGAACUGGAUAAAAUUUUGACUUUUCUCCGAAAAAUUAUUUCACUUUAGUGAAAAAAGUGAAACAAUAGUGUUUGGCCAUGAAAUUUCACUCCUACUUCUCUUACAAAAAAAAAAAUUGUGAUUUUUACUUUUUGUCCAAACACUGUAAUUUUCACUUUAGUGUUUGUUUGGCCAAACACUGUAAUUUUCACUUUUUUCACUAAAGUGAAAUAAUUUUUCAGAAAAAAGUGAAAAAAUAUUCAUGACCAAAUGGCUACUUAUAUUCAUGGCCAAACACAACUUCAACUCCAACUUCAAUUUUAUUUUUAACUCCAUAAAAUUAUAUUUUCAUGACCAAACGGGGAAAAACAAACUAAGACUAUUGUAUAUAGAUAUGUCUUUUAAUUUUUUUAAUUGACUUUUGGUGUACGACAAUGCAUGGCUAGUACUCCAUCUUUAAUUUUGCUGUAAAUUUGGGUGAUCAUAUGUUUCAUAUACGCUCUCCCGUUCAAUAAUAUUUAUCCACUAUAUUAAAAGUAAAUAUUCAACUAGUUAUUCAAUUUAAAAAAAUAAUGGAUAAUUCACCCUUUUCUACUCAUUUUAUGUUUGCUAUAGUACUGUAAUAAAUAUUAUGCAUCAACCAAUCAUUUUUCAAGACAUCAAAUUUAUUAUAUUCAAAAUUACCUCUAUUAUUUAUUGUUUCUCAAUAUGUGUGUUAAGUCGACAACUAUCGUUGGUUGGACGGAGUAUGAAUUAUAAAAUCAAUAUCUUUACUAGCUACUAUUUAUAUAUAUAUAUAAAGGAAGAACACAAGGCUGCUGAUGUGGCAUGCCUCUAAAGCCACAAUACACAUUUAUCUUUUUUCUAAUUUUUUAGAGCUUUUGUUCCAUUUUAAUUAUUUUCUUUAAAUUUUCGUUGGUUUUUCUUUAAUAAAUCAUUUAAGUGUUAUUUAUUGUUAUCACAAAUAGCAUUUGAACCACACAGAAAUAGCUUACACAAUUUUUGUCGUUUUAAAAAAAAAACACUUCUUGUUCACCUUCUUUUCUCACCAACAACCAUUAAUCCUCAGAAAUUGUUCAUGUUCUAUAACGAUAAAGAGUUAAAAGAUUGAAUUAGCAAUAAAACUUCACAAAUCAGCAAAUUAGACUAAAUGACCGAAUGAAGAAAUUUGAUUGUUGAGUGAGUCAACCUUCUCCGACAGUGAUACAUCAUCCUAUUUCAAGUUAGUUUUUAUGUGUUUUUUCAAGAAUCAAAAUGUGUUAAUUUAACUAUUUUUUUUAUUAUAUUGAUAUGAGAAAAAUUAUAAUUUUAGUACUUUUAGUGCUUUUUAUUGUUAGUUGGUUCAUUAGAAGCUGAAAUCUUUUCAGUUUUGAUGGGUAUCUCGUGGAAUUUUUUUACUUUUAAGGUCAAAGUUAAAAGGUAAUAUGAGUUAGAUUUGGUCUUGAUUUGAUAAAUAAUCAAGAGGAAUUGAUGUUUGAAAUUUGCAUGUAUAUACGUUUUUGUCAUGUGUGAAAUGAUGUAUGCGUAAGUAUUAGAUGUUCAAUUGGGUUUAGCUGUGAGUUUUGGUUUCUGCUUUUGGAUUGGAUGUUCUGUCUCGCCCUGAUCUUGUUGUUGUAACUCAGAAGCAGUUAAUUAUAUCAUAAAUUUAUUGUGGUUUCUGAUUUUUAUGUGCUGUGUUGUUUGCUGGUUUAUUAAAAGCUGAAGUCUUUUCAGUUUUGAUGGGUAUUUUAUGAAAAUUUUCUACUUUUCAGGGCAACAUUGAAGGGUAAGAUGGGCUAGAUUUGAUCUUGGUUUGAUAAAUAAGCAAGGGAAAUUGAUGUUUGAGAUUUGAAUGUCUUUGUACGGACGAUUUUUGAAGUUCUUUAUGUGUGUUUGUCAUGUGCUAUAUAAUAUAUGCUUAAGUAAUUGGAUGUUCUCUUGCUUUCUGUUUUCAGAUUGGAUGUUAUAUUUCACCUUGAUGCUGUUGUUCUAACUCUGAAGCAGUUAAUUAUAUCAUAAAUUUGUUAUGGUUUCUGAUAUUUUUGAGUGGUGUCAGUUGAUCUCUUUAAAGUUGGAUCUUUUCUAUUUUGUCAAUGCUGAAGGGUAAUCUAAGUCAGAUUUGAUAAAUAUGCAAGGAAAAUGGUUAAAGUCGAUACCUUGAGAAGUUAGGUGAUGAAUUUAUUCAACUGUUUGAAGAGUAGAAAGUAACCAAUAAGCAAGUAAAAUGGUUGAAUUCGAGACCUUGAGAAGUUAGGUGAUGAAUUAAUUCAACUGAUUGGAAAAUAGAAAGUAAAAAUCAGAAUUAUAUGGGUAAAGUGUCACCUAAUGAUGGUCAAUCCAAGACUCCAAAACAGAAAAAGUAGUCUAGGAGUACAAAUGGAAAGUAUUUGAGACCUGGUACUUUGGCACAACUACGUUACACUAAGGUAGCUGCUACUAAAUCUUGUAUGGAUCUUGAAAAGAAAAGGGUGGUUGUAAUAACUUCAGAUGAAACAAAGGAUCAAGUUGUAGUUCAAAAUGAUGUUAUUGAUUAAAGUCCCAUAUUUUUAUUACCCAUGAAAUUUUGUUAUGAUUCUGGGAAUACACCCAUUGAUGUAUCUAAGCAUAAUAAAUUGCAAAGGACACUAAAGACACCUCGUGCAUUUGAGUGCACAGCAGAGUCAAGGCUCGAGUCUCUUCCAACAGAUUUAUUGGUAUAGAGAUUUCUUUUUGCUUUUGCUUUCAUUGAAUUGUUGAUCAUAUGCUAUACUUGUGUGUCAAAUGGUUUGGUUAACAUUUGUUUUUUUUUUUUUUUGGCUAGAAUAAAAAAGCCUUUAAAAAUUCAAUGCCUACAGAAAGAAUUUAUGUCUUUCUUUGGAAGUCAAUCACCAAUUAACUUGGUAAGUCUCUUGAACAAGUAAAUAUCCUCCAACAGUGUAGAAGACCCAAUUUAUGGAGCCAUAAUAGGCCAUAAUAUUGUUUCCAUCAAUACACCCAUUCACAAAGAUUUUUAUAUUUUUCCUUUUUGUACAAUGUUGCUCAACCUGAUUCACUUCUAAAAUAAAAUUCAAUGAUAUUAGGAUCAACAUAGAUGAAUGGUAACACCAUACCGUUAGCUAAUGGACAUAAAAAACCGACUGAAGAUAGAAAAUAUAAAACACCGAGGCACUCGUGAUGGACCAGGCAAGAAACACUUAUUCUCAUACAAGGGAAAAAGGUUGCAGAGGAAGGAGCUCAUAGGGGGCGUAGAUCCAAUUCCAUUUUUGGUUCAGACAAGCCGAAACCCAAAUGGGACUCGGUCUCCUCUUACUGUAUGCAAAAUAGAGCAGACAGAGGACCUGUUUAAUGCAGAAAAUGUUGGAGCAACAUGAUUAGUGAUUUCAAGAAAAUUAAAACAUGGGAGUCACAGACAAAUGAAAGCAACAAAUCUUAUUGGAUUAUUAGCAACAAUCUCUGACGAGAGAAAAGGCUACCAGGUUCUUUCCACUGAGAAGUCUAUAAUGUCUUGGAUGGGAAGGAAGUCUCAGCGGAAGCAUACCAACUAACUCUAGUAACCAUAACCACAGAUGAUAAAUUUGGCUAUGGUAUAGAAACAGUCGAAGAAGAGGAAGAGGAAGAGAAAGCGGAAGAGGAAGAGGAAGAUAAUGCCGAUGUUUCUCAUACAAGGGAAUAUAACAUGGAAGAUGAUAUUUUGCCUCCAGCCACGGAGGAAGUUGGAAGCAACUCAUUGAAGGAAGGCGACAUCAAAUAUAAAAAAAUCUAAGUUCAUUCUCUCUCCAACACCUAUAUCAGGUAAAUUAGAAGUGUUUCAAAAAUUUGCUUUGUUCUCUACCAGAACUUUAGCACAUAUUUACAGAGACUUCUGUACCAACUCUUUUUUCUUGCUUGAUUUGUAACAGAGAAAGUACAUGUUACAUUUUCAUGAAUAUACGGUCUGAUUAACAUCAUUUUGUGAACUUGUAUGUUUUGAACUGUGUGUUGGAUCUUGUAAAUAAAUAACAACAUUAAUCCCUUAAUCCUUCUAUUGUCUUUCAAAAUUUUGACACUUAUCUUUUACAAAAAUUUAACCAAUCCAAAAAUUUAACUCAUUAUUUAUAAGAAUUGAAUAUUGAGCACAAUCAAGAAAAGAAAAAAGUUGUAUAAAUACUACGUACAAAUUCAUAGCAGCGAGAUAGACCAUUUAUCUUCAUACUCAUUAUCUGGACAUAGUGCUUGAUUAGGGUUAGUUUUUCUAAUAUUUUGAAUUUGACAAACACUUAUGCAGGAUACUAUAAUAGAUUAAAAUAAAUAGAUCAUGAACAUCAAAUUAGUUUGAAAAAAUUGUAAAAAUAAAUUAUUGAUGGUAACUUUAUUAACCACAUAUAUCUAAAUGUUAGCACGAAGUGCGGCCACGUUCCCUAGUUGAAAAUAUAACACCAUGAUUAGGUGGGGAGUCAACAUUAGCGAUCGUAGUUAAUUAACGUAAGACUCCUUCAAGUUUACUUAAAAUUCUAAGAUAAAAAGUUUACUUAAAGAAAAACAUGAUAAGUCACCAUCAAACUAACAAUAAUGGAUUCUACGUGCAUUGCACGUGAGUUCUACAUUGAUUAAAAGAAAGACAUAAAAUAAAGGGUGAGUGUUAUAAAUAUAUUAUCAUAUAUAUUGAAUGUCUACUUUAUCAUAUACAGUGAAUAUCUACUUUACCAUAUAUAGUGAAUGUCUAUUUAUGAAAAAUUUGGAAACCUCAAGUUAGUUUUUCCCUAUAAAUAAGGGGUUUUCCUUCAUUGUAAUAAGCCUGUCAAGAAAUCCCUCAAGAGAAAUAAGAAUUAUUCUCUAUUCUCUCUCGACUCUUCUUUUUUGCUUUAUAUUUCAUAACACGUUAUCAGCACGAGACUCUGCCAAAUAAGGUGAGAUUAUAAAUCUAAAGGUAAUUGCAAGGUUAAUAAUUCCUUGUGUUAUUUGUCUUUUGCUACUAAUGACAUAAUUAUUGUUGGAUUUGAGAAAAAAAUAAUUGAUUUGAGACCACUUAUGCUUUAUAUUUGUUCAUGAAGAACAAUAUUAAUAAAAGAUAUGAUGAUGAAUUAAAUCUCAUCUCAUUAAGAGAGUAAGACAUUAGAUUAAAAGUCCAAUGUACCAUGAUGAUAAGAUGUUGGGUUCAAGUCCCGUUGAGUUAUAGUCUAAGAUGCCUUUAUAUGGAUAAGAUAUUGAGUAUGAAUCACAAUACACCAUAUUGAUGAUACUAUGACGACUAAGGCAAAAUAAUGUGUUUUUGAUGAAAAGUCAUGAGAGAUGUCCCCUUGAAUAUUCUCCAUUCUCUGAAGUGAAUGUGGUAGUAGUGCAUAAUAUGUCUGAAAGAGACAAGUGAUUGAAUGUACGAAUAUAAGCGGGGUGGGACAAUAUGAUAAUUAUUAUCAAAAGUAAUAAUAUUUUCACACGCUUAUUAUGAUUAUAAGAUAUGUUAGAGAAAAAUUCUCCACAUUAUAUGUAUGCCUCGAUUAGCUCUUGAAGUAGCAAUAUCAUGAAAGAGGUUCUAAGCUUUCAUAAUUUGAUACACUUAAGACACAGUUAUAUUUCAUUCCUGGGGAAUGAGAAUUUCGACUAUUAUAAGUACAGAUUCAUUCCCUAAGGUAAAUAUGAUGAUAUUUAGUAAAACUUAUUAAUAUAGCGUUUGAUUGUGAUGGUAUCACAACUCACCUUCGAAAGAGGUUGAAUAAUUUUAAAAUUUACUUCUGAAGUAGUAAAGCUAAAAUAUAUUCAUGUCAUAGUAAAUCUGAAAUUUACUAAGGUAAAAAAAUACAUAUCAUGAUAAACUUGGAGUUUACUAGUAUAAAAUUUCAUAAGUUGACAUGAAUGAUUACGACAUUUCAAAGAUGUGCAUAUAUUAAACAUAUGUUGAAGAAUUAGAAAAUUUUUCAUGUACUUUGAAUGUUGCUUGUCCUCAUGAUAAGUUGGUUGGACCAACUAAUUUUUGGAUUGGAUCCCUUAAAAUCUGAAAAGUAUAAAAGGUGAAUAAGGGCUCGUUCAUCUAUCAUGUGAUAUGUUUCGAACGAUGCACCAAUAAGAUGAUUGACAGCGCCCAAGUGCAUACGCAAGUAUACGUGGUCUACCAAGUAGUAAAGUGGCCUAAUUAAAGCCAAGUACCGAUUCCAUAGAGACUUGAUUUAACAACGAUUUAAUUUUAGUUCAUAGGACUUGAUUUAACAACGAUUUAAUUUUAGUUCAUAGUCAAGAUUAACUUAGUGCAAAAGUAACCAAAAAGAGUUUGAAAAAUUGUAAAUUAAAAAUAAAGUAAACAAUGCGAAAAUUAAAUUCUUGAAACAAUCAAUGGAGAAAAGCCCAGGAUUAAAGCACUCCAAACAAUUAUACUAUGUUAUUGAAUUUCACUCGUUAACUUGCUUAUCUUAGUUGUUGAUUCGUAGGGUUAAUGGCAUGAUCAUAGUUUCCCAAUCUUUAAUCUUUUACCUAAUAUGAACAUUACAACUACAUCGUUAAGUAGGGAUGUAAUAAUCGAAUUAAGUUAAUUAAAGUUAUCAUCCUACAUUUGGAUCAAGUAAGGCCUCUAAGUACAUCCCUGUCCUAGAUGCUAAGUUAAAGUCUUUAUUUUAUAAAAGAAUAAAAACCCAAACUUUGUGUAUUCCCACGUUCUAUCUCCCUAUUCCUUCUCUCGAGAUCAAAAGGUCGACAAUAUAUGUAUUCUAAGGGUCGCGAAUCCUUAAAAUAAUUAAAACAAGAAUAAACAAACAAUCAAAUAUGAUAAACAAAAUUAAUCGAAAUUAGUCCAAAAUAAUAAUAAUCAUGUUCUUGUCUUUAACCUCAGAAAGAGGUUUCUUAGUUGAUAAUAUUUAUAAUCAUGAUCCAAUUAAUUAAAUAUAUGAUAUGAAAAAUUAAAGACUAAAUAAAACAUUAUAAACCUAAUUAAAAGAAGUGCAGCCACCGAAAUUUCUCCAAUACGGUAUCCAGGUGUUCCGGCACGUGUCCACCAAUUUAAUAUGGUCCAAGCUUUAAAUAAUGUUGUGUCCAGCUGUAAUCGAACUUUGACCAAGUGUAUGUAUAUAUAUUGUAUUUCAAAUUUAAGUGGGAUUAGACAUGGACGCGAAUCCCAAUAAGAUACCCUCAAAGAUUCCUUUUCUAUUCAUGCAAUUGUAUUAUUACUAGUCUCCGUGUCGGCGCUGACUUGCUUCUGCAAUGUUUAAUUACAUCGCGUCGACGAAUGCGUCGCUGGACUGGUUGGACUGGAAAUAUCGACGCAACGCGUCGACUUCGCGUCGACUCAGUCGAAUUUACUUCUAAAAUUUUGGUUAAGUGUUGAACAUUCUAUUUUUAGUCAUGCCUUUUGUAGUAUAUUUUUAAUAACUUUUCGGCCUUUAAAUCAUCAAUAUAUCACCUUAUUCACCUUACAAAGUCUCCUACAAUAUCACACACCACAUAUUAAAUAUUAAAACAACAUAAUAUUUAGAACAAUGAAUCAAAACAAGAGCUAAGAUAAGGCAAAUUUGCAAUGAUCUUUCACUUAUUAUUUCGACUCUUGACUUAAUCAAAUUAAACUUUUUACAUUACAAAUAAGUUAUUCCACUUAUAAUUACACAUUUAAAUCAUUUGGAACAAAUUAAACACAUUAGAAUCCAACGAAGCCAACUAGACACACACUUAGCUCAAGCUAGUAAAACUAGUUUUCCGGGUUGAACUCUAAAUUACUUAAUUAAGCACAACCUUGUUUGAAAAAAAACUUGAACCUUGUAAUCUCAUACUUGGACAUUUAAAUGCUUAUUUAUAUCAAUAUGAACACGUUAAGCACACAAAUUGCUCUCAAAAUAAGGCGAAAUAAGCUAGAAUAAUGAUACAAAAGUGUAUAAAAUCACUUCAAAUCAAUGAUCAUAUGUACAUUUACUAUCAAUCUGCAGUUUGACAUUCAUAAAGUUGUUUGCUCAAUAUAAAUUUAGUUAAGAAUAUAAUUUUUAUAUUAUGUAAUCAAAAUAAUUUAUCUUGAUGAUGAUGGUUUAACAUUGAAUGUCUUUGAUAAAUAGUUGAACCAUAGCUAAUGAGAACAAAGUUUCAUUUUUUUAUUUGAAAUAAUAUAUAUUACAUACAAAAGUACUUGUAUUCAUCAAACCCAUAAAUUAUGAUUAACGCCCUUCAAAGUUGGUUCUGAGUCAAGAACCACACAUUGUUCAUCUAAUAUUUUUUAUGUGUGGUAUACGAUUAAUGAAUUUAACAUAACACACAAGGAUGAAUUUCUCAAAGAAGAUGGAGGAUGUAUGUUAGUUUUCCUAACAUAAGGGGGAGAUUAUAAGCAGCUAUUAAAUAUGGUAGAAAUUAUCAUCAGAUCCUCAUUCAAAAGAUAAUUAAAGUUAAAUGCCGAACAUAUCUCAUAUUUAAAUUGCAAGUGCUCCUAUUUUGUGUUCUAAAGGACGAAGUCUACGCACGCAUAAAGCAUAGUAGACCAAUCGGUUCCAAAUAAAAUAAUUUCCAAAUAAAAUAAUUCUUAAAAAGGAUAAGGAGCAAAUGAUCAUAAUAAGAAGGCAAUGUACUCUUGAAGAGCCUACUACAUAACACUUCAUGAAACCUUAUGAGAGGUUCAGGUAUCUAAAAAUGAUGAAGUAAUGAGAUCUCAAAAUGUUAUGUCAUAUUGUAAACUGAUUCAAAAGGAUAUAUCAUCAAUAAUUUCUUUGAUACAAUAUUGGCGCAAUAUUCUAAAAGAUUAUGAGCAUCUAAAUUCUAUGUUUAUUUAAGCAUGCUGACAUAGAAACAUUUAUCAAGUGAUAUGAAAGGAUGCAUCUUGAUAAGCAUAAAACUUAUUUGAUUUGUAGUCCAAACACUUGAAGAUGCCGCACAUGAAAUGUUGAAUACUGUCAGUUGACAAAAUUUAUAUGAAAACUUUUUAAGGAUUCAAAAUAUUUGAAGCAUUUAAACGUUUCUGGGAAACUUAUUUAUAAUCCUUAUACUGUAUAAACUUAUAGCUUGAAAAUUAUUGAAACUCUUGGAGAGUUUUCAAAAGUAAUAGAUUAUUUGCUGAAAUAAGAAAUAUAUCAAUUUGGAUUGGCUAUGAAGUACCAUAUAAUAGUGCAGGUGGUGCACUCAUGUACCUUGUAAAUACUACAAGGUUUGAUAUAACCUUUUUCAGUUAGUUUGUUAGCGAGGUAUAGUUUUACUCCUACUAAAAGAUAUCGAAAUGGGAUCAACAUGAUCUUAUUUUAUUCUAAAGAUUGCAGUUCCGAUCUUGUUGAUUAUGUUAAUGUUGGGUAUUUAUUUAACUCGCAUAAAUUUUAGUCUCAAACAUACAAUAUGUUCACAUGCGGAGACACUAUCAUACCAUGAAGAUGUACAAAAUAGUUUAUCUAGCCACUUCAUUGAACCAUGCUGAGAUAAUAACUAUUCAUGAAGCUAGCUGAAAAUGUGUAUGGUUGAGGUCCAUGAUGCAUCUCAUUCAAGAAAAAUAUGGUUUGAAAUGUGACAAAGUACCCAUAUUUUUUAUGAAGAUAAUGCAGCAUGCAUAGCACAACUUAAUAGAGGAUUCAUAAAAGGAAAUAUAAUGAAGCAUAUUUUUCCAAAGCUUUUAUAUACAUAUGAUUUCCAAAAGAAUGGUGAUAUUAACAUGCAACAGAUCAGUUCAAGUGACAAUGUAGCUGAUUUAUUCACCAAGUCUCCUCCAAGUGCAAUUUUCGAGAAGAUAGUGCACAAGAUCGGGAUGCAAAGGCUCAAAAAUGUUCUCGUUAGGGAGAGUUAAUAAGCGUUAUACUCUUUUUUCCUUACGAGGUUUUGUUCCACUGGAUUUUCCUUGUAAUGUUUUUAAUGAGGCAGUCUAUAUGUGUAUUGUUAACGAUGUGUACUCUUUUUCCUUCAUUAGAUUUUUUUCCCCAGUGGGUUUUUUUGGUAAGGUCUUAACGAGACACAUUAUCUAUCAAUUAGACAUUCAAAGGGGAGUGUUAUAAAUAUAUUACCAUAUAUAGUGAAUGUCUAUUUUACCAUAUAUAAUCAAUAUCUACUUUACCAUAUAUAGUGAAUGUCUAUUUAUGGAAAAGUUGGAAACCCCAAGGUUAGUUUUCCCCUAUAAAUAAAAGGGUUUUCCUUCAUUGUAAUUAACCCAUCAAGAAAUCCCUCAAGAGAUAUAAGAAUUACUCUAUAUUCUCUCUCUACUCUUCUUCUUUGCUUUAUAUUUCAUAACAGAAUAAGAAUAAAAUAUCUAUUAUGUCAUCCGACGUUGAGGUAAAUACGAUACUAUAUAUAUAUAUAUAUAUAUAUAUAUAUAUAAUUGAUUAAAAGAAAGAUAUAAAAUAAAGAAUAAGAAUAAAAUGUCUAUUAUGUCAUCCGACGUUGAGGUAAGUAUGAUACUCUCUCUCUCUCUCUCUAUAUAUAUAUAGUAGAGUCUGUGUCCCAAAUUCUGUUGAUUCGGUCCUGAAAAGUUCGCGGUGCUAUCCAUAUUUGUGAUUUUUUGUGGGGUCUGUGGUGGUAGCGUGUGUAUGGGCCUGUAUGUUUUGGGGCCUAGGAUUUAUUUGUAUGCACGUAUUAUAUAAGUGUAAUUUAGUGGGUUGUUUUGGAUGGAUUUUAACAUACGUCAUUGAGACUUUCGUCUCCUCAUUGUAUUCCUCUCCCUUAUAGUGAAUUCCUCCAUCUCCGUCCAUGGUUUUUCCCGUCAAGAAUUUUCAUGUAAAUCUGUGUGUUUUCUUCUUGUUUUCUUUUGCUUUAUGGUGUUGCUUAUUCUGUCCGAACAUAACAAUAUAUAAUAUUUGAAUUGCAAAGUAAAAAACGAGAGUUUUAAUACACCAUAUCGUUAUAUUAUAGUGUUUAGGAUUCUUCUUUCAUUAUAUUUGUCACUAUUAUUAUUAUCAUUAUCUCAUACUUUUUUACUCAAAGGUAAAUUCUAAAAUUAAAUUUUUCAAGUGUCAUACCUUUAUCCGAUCUUUAUUAUCUGAAUUUGUCUUAUCCAAAUUAGGAAAAAAAAAUUGGAAAACAUAAAAAGAAAGAUUCAAAUGUAUUUUUUGAUUGAUUAAUUUUUCUCAACAAUCUAUAAUUUAGGAUUAAAUUUUGGAGAAAAAAAUAUGGUAUAGCCCUUUUUUAAAAGGAAAAAAUUCACAUAUAGUCUCAUUAGAAUACCUAUAACUAACUUGAGAAAAUUGAAGGAAAUGUGUCUUUUAAGUCUUGAUUGAAGGAUUGGUGAUAUUGACCAACUUAAAGGGUCAAAAAUAAUUAGAAAACUUGAUUAAGUUAAUUGUGAACUUGAUUAAUAUUUUCAAAACUUCGUAAUAUUUUCAAAAAUGCAAAUCAACCCAACCCACACCCCUUUUUAAUCUAAAUCAUCGACUAUCUCUCUCCUCUCUCUCGACAGCUUCUCUCAACCAAUAGUUCUGCAAAUUUUUUCCUUGGAAUCCCCGACGACUUCAAACUUCAAUGAAAAAUAGUUGGGCUUCGAGUUCCUUUUUGACUUCAACCAUCAAUCGAUAUGACAGUCAGAACAGCUUUGAAUUCUUCAUCGUUUCUUUUCUUCUUUCACAGGUAAAAAGUUAUGGCCUUUUUAGUUUUGAGGAAAAUGAGGAACUUGAGCCAACUUCUCUUAUAGUAUUGGUUAACAAUUUCAGUAUUUGUUGCUUUAAUUUGAAAUGCAGUCUGAACAAAAUCCUAAUUUUUUAUAUUUCUUCUCUUCUCUUCUCUUUUCUUUUGUUGUUUGAUUUCAAAGUUUAAUUUAUUGUGCCCAUUGCUGGGUUGAUUUGUUAUUGUUCUUGGAAAAAAUGGUGAUAUUUUUGUUAUUUUGUUGAACAAAAUUGUGCUACUAUUUUUUUCUCCAACAGAUUAUCCAUCUGGUGCAACAUUUUAACUAUUUGAUGCAAUAGAUUUAGCAUAUGAUGCAAUAGAUCAACCAUAUAAUGCAACGUAGGAACUAUCAGAUUAAAAUUUUGAUGCACCAGAUUAAACAUCUGAUGCAAUAAAUUAACCAUUUCUUGUAACAGAUUAAUCAUUUGAUGCAACAGAGAAAUCAUUGGAUAAAAAAUUUGAUGCAACAGAUUUAGCAUAUGAUGCAAUAAUUUAACCAUCGGAUGCAACAUAUUAAGCAUAUGUUACAAUAGAUUAAUGAUCUAAUGCAACAAAUUUACUAUUGAAUGUAACAGAGGAACCAUCAGAUUAAAAAUUUGAUGCAAUGGAGGAACCAUCAAAUUAAUGAUUUGAUGCAAUAGAUGAACCUCCUGUUGGAUAAAAUCCUAUCAACUCUUCCAACUGGACAUGUCCAAGACUUGACUUUUCCAACUGAUCAUUCAUCUGUCGCGAUAGACGACCCUUCUGUUGGAAGAAAUCUUAACAAUAUUGACCAUUGAUAACUAUUCAAACAGAUCAAUUAUAUGUUGCAACAGAUGCGUGACCUGUUGCACAGACCAUUCAUCUGUCUUAAAAUAUGAGUGAUAUGUUUUGUAUUAUUGUAAUAAAUUACUCAUCCGUUGCAACAGGUUAGUUAUUUUGUGCAAUAGAUAACCUACCUGGUACAACAGAUGUGUGAUUUAUUGCAACUGUUGCUCCCUCCAUCCUAUUUUAUGUGUCAUCAUUUCCUUUUUAAUCUAUCCCAAAAAGAAUGUCAUGUUUCCUUAUUUGGUAAAUAUUUAAAAACACAAUUACACUUUUACCCUUAUUGGGCACACUGAAUUAAAAAAAAAAGAUAGCAACACAUUUUUUGAUAAAGGACAAUUUGGUAAAUAUUAUCUAGUCUUCCCUUAUUUCUUAAACUCCGUGCCCGGUCAAAUGGCGAUACAUAAAAUGGGAUGGAGAAAGUAUUUUAUUAUUUUGCAUGUUAUAUUGACUGUUAUCCCUUUUUAAUGAUGCAUUAAUCAACUAUAAUUUUUUUUAUGUUCCUGUUAAUUUUAGAUAAUAUGGCUCCCAAAAGAACAGAAACUGAAUCAAGUCCAAGUAAAGGAACAAGUGAAGCAGCUAGGCUACAUCCACUAUUUUAUGAGCUUGCUUUACAAGUGUUAUCUCAAUUGGGAGCAGAAUAUGAUAAAUACGAGGAGGAGAAAUAUUUCAAAAGAGAUGAUACAAAUGCUAAUAGCCCCUCCACCGAAGAGUUGGUCAAAACCUUAUGCAUUGAUUUAAUGGGUGAUUUUGUGGUUAAGUCAUCCAUGGAAAAAUCUUUUGACGCCUUCAAAAAAAUACUUUGAGAACAAAAAUUGGAUGCUUAUUUCAGGGACAGUUGCUUUGGAAAAUAUCUUGAUUUGCCGGAGAAUAACAAUGCUCGUUUUCAAAUGAAAAUGGUAUAUGAACUUCUCAAGCGUAGGUUUAUUUAUGAAAACAAAGAUAAGAUGGAUGAGGUAUGAAUAAAUUAGUAUGACAUAUUUACUGGACUAAAAUAUUAUCCUCCUUCUCCUUCUCUUGUUAUACCUAUUCUAACCUAAAAAAAAGCACCCCGUACACCCAAACAAACUAAAGGCAAGUCGUGUGAUCGUGAUGAACUGGUUUCCAUUGUUGGUCCAAGUUUCAAAAACAAAAAUUUGAUAAAAGCGUUGAAAGGUAAAAGAAUUUCAAAGAAGCAUGAGCAACCAUUGUACUUGGUUUAGUUUGUAAAUAAUAUUCUUUGGGCGAGAAACAUUAAAAAUAUCAUAAGUGUUGGUUUAAUAAAGCUCUCCAAAGAUCUUGAGACAUUUAACAGCUAUCCUAGGGGUUAUGAAAGCUUCAAAAUGACAGUCAAAUAUUUGUUGACUCCGUUAGCGCCAAAGAGAGUCAACUUAUAUGGCUUUUCAUGAUAAAUGUUUCUUUAUUUUAUUAUGAUAUCAUUCAUUUUUUUACUCAAUAAUGGUUUUGAUUUAUUGACAUUAUUUUAUAGGUUUGGGCGUUUGAAGCCAUUCCUUAUUUGAGACAACAAGUGAACUACCAGGAAUAAGUUCCUUGUCCAAGAAUCUUGAGAUGAUUGUUGGCCAAAACUAAUAAAAAUGCAAAAUUUCUUAAUCUCUUCAACCCUCCGAAGGAUGAAGUAAAUAUAAUUAUAAUUAAGUUUUUAUUUUAACUAAUGAUUUUUUUGAAUGGUCUAAUCAUCAUUCUAAUAUAUGUAAUGAUUUAUGUUAGAUUGUGCAUCCACCGCUAGUUCCGACUAAUCGAGAGUUGAAGAUGCCAUUUUUUAGUUUAGGGUCUAUGCAAACUUUAUCGAACCCUAAGGUCAUUGACAAAUUAAAAAUAGAAUUAUUUGGAGCAACAACCAUUAGAAGAAAAAACAUUUUUGGAGGGUGGGAUUGUUGUUGUUGAUGGUCUUCGUGGUGAUGGAGCUGUUGGUGGUGGUAGUAGUGAUACUGUUGGUGCUAAUGAUGCUCCUCUUACAGUAUUUAAAACAAACCAUUAUGAGUAUGAUCAUACUGGUUAUACAGAUUUUGCCUCUUCCAGCGAAUGAUCUGGAUGCAAAUGUCAAGACUGCAAGGAGAAACAUGAUUUAGUGAUUAAUGCUAUUAAUACAUUAACUGCUUCUGUAAAGGAAUUGACAUAAAAGAGGGGUGUCAUUCCAUCAAAGAGGAUUUUAUAUCUAUCCAAUCCAUUAGCUAUUAAGGCUAAGAGAAGGAAAGUAAUUUCCAAGGCAUGAUCAAGCAUCCAUAAAAGCAAAAUUACAACUCCUCUAUUCAUGUUUUGCAUUGAGCAAUGUACAAUGGCCAAAGGAGAGAAGCACGAGCUGAAGAAGGUGAAUAUAUAUGUUUGUUCCAACUAACAAAUAGACAUAUAUCUAUUUCAACAGAUGAGACAUCUACUAAAAAUUUUCAAACAGAUAUAUACAUCUGUUGCAACAGUUGACUAACUUGUUGCAUCAAAUAAAGUAUCUGUUGCAACACGUGUCUCAUCUAUUUUAGCAAACCAAAUAACUCUUUGUACCACUUUUCUUUGUACCAACAGAUGGACUAUCUACUGCAACAGAUGAGUCAUCUAUUGCAACAGAUUGGUUCGUCUGUUGGAAAUUAUCAUACAUGUCUUCCUCAUGUAGAAAUUUGUCCCAAUAGUUGAUUCAUCUGUUUUAAUAGAAAUAUAAUCUGUUUGGGUCAAUUUAAAAUAUGAGGAAGACCUGUUUAAUUAGCUAGAACAAAUGAGUUAUCCUUUUCUGUUUUGUUGUAUCCCCGUGAUUAGCAUUGACCAAUUCUGGCUUUCCAGGUGAAUGUAGAGGCUACUGCUGAACAACAUUGACAAUAUGCUACUCCUUUUAUAGAAAUACAGAGAACAAAAAGCGCAGAAACCAUACAUAAGUGACAAUAAGGAUCUACGAUGACCAAAGCCAAAUUCUAUAGCACCGGGUGAAGAACAACUUGUCCAUAUUGAGUAGAUCUUUAUAGCUUGAGUCUGUCAAAGUAAUAACCUCACCCCUCCUUAGAAAAUGUUGUCAUCAAUACUUAAAUUGUAGAUGUGUUUGUUGAGGCCCCAAAAUAAUUUUUUUACAUUUAUUUAUUUAUUAUUUUAUUUCAGCUAAUUUCUGAAGGCUUUGAUUUAUUUUAUUUUGUCUAUGAAUUUUUUUUUUUCUUUAGAUUUGAACUUAUUAAUUGAAAUAGAAUACUAGAUUCAAAUAUUACAACAGAUAAUGUAUAUGUUGCAACAGAUGACACAUCUAUUGGAAAAUAUCAAACAGAUUCAAACAUAUAUUUCAACAGGUAGGUAAUCUGCUGGAAAUUAUCAAACAGGUUUUUCUACUAUUGCAAUAGAUAGACUUAGAUAGAAACAUCGACAUAAUGCAACAUAUGACCAACCUAUUACAACAGAUAAACUAUAUGUCAGAAUAGGUAUAAUAUUUGUUACAACAGAUAGACAAUCUAUUGCAUUAUAAAAAUUCAACUUUCAUUAGACAUAAAAAAUUACCACUACAUGUAAAAAGUGAAAGUGACUUAAAAUAAAAAAGGCGAAACCCAUGUACAGUGUUCAGUUUAAACAACUAAAAUCAAAUAGGCAUCAAGUAGACAGUGUUCAUUUUAAACACGUAAAAUAAAAUAGGCAUCAAAUAUGUCAGUUUGUCACUUUUUGCCUCAUUGGCUGCUCGCGUAUAAUCCACGUAGCCAAGGCUCGUUGAAUCCCCAUUUUUACUGAUUUGUCCCUCAACGGUUAUUUUUCUCCCAUUGUCUUAUAUAUUCAUCUUCUUCCUAAAAUUUAACCCUAAAUUCUCAAAGCUUCUUUUUCUUCUUUAUUUUUUUUAUCUAUCCAAAUUUUUCUCAAUUACUUGUAUUUUUUUGCAUAAUUUUUAUAUUUUUUCCAACCGAGCUUGAUAAUGUCGAGUUCAUCUUCCACUAUUUUUUGUGACAAAGAUUUUCGAUAUUAUAAGUGUGGUCAUAAAGCUCUAUUGAAGAUUUUUUGGACUCAACAAAAUCCAGGUCGUAGGUUUUUUACAUGUAAGAUUUCAAAUAUAAUAUUUUUUUAUAUAAUUAGUUGAUUAAUUAUUGACUUGUAAUUAUUUUGUAAUUGUGUUCUUGUUUUUAUAGAAAUAGGGUGGAUGUAAUUACUUUGAUUGGUAUGAAGAAUGACACCCUUCACAAGCAAAUCGUGUAAUCUGGGGUUUGUUGAAGAAAGUCAUGGCUUCUGAAGAGAAAAAAAAUCGAGCAAGAAGAUACUACAUUGUUGUCGUUAUUGCUACUGGUUUAGUGGUGUUGGUCACAUGAAUAUUCAAGCCUAAUUGAUGAAAUUUUAAUGGUAGUGUAUUUGCUACUGGUUUGGUGUUGUCGAGCACAUGGAUAUUCAAGCAUAAUUUGUUGGAAAAUAUCAAACAAUUUAGGCAUAUAUUGCAAAAUUUAGGUCAUCUGUUUGAAAUUAUCAAACAGGUCUUCCCACUGUUGCAAUAGAUUAGACUUAGAUUAGAUAGAAAUAACAUCGACAUAAUGCAACAGAUGACCAACCUAUUGCAACAGAUAAACUAUCUGCCAGAACAGAUAGAAUAUAUUUUACAACAGUUUGACAAUCCAUUGCAUUAUAAAAAACUCAACUUUCAUCAGAAAAAAAUUAUUGUCACUACAUGUACAUGUAAUGUAAAGUGAAGCGUGACUUGAAAUAAAAUGUUAUUAUUUCACUGGCUCUUCUUUAUACACAAGCUCCAAGCAUCCAGUUAGUACCCCAUAAUUCUAGACCUCUUGCAGGUUUUCCAUAGCGUUUUCGCACAGAAAGGUCAUUGGAUCAUCCAUUUUUCUGUCGGUCAGCAAAUCUAUAAUGUGUGUAAGUACGUGCGAGCCGCACACAAAACUGGUAUCAUUUUUUGGAAGGUUCAUGCCCUUGUUUUGACCUUUAAAAUCCCAUGAUUUCUUCAUCAAUACUUUCUCUGGCAAAUGAUACAUCAGUUUACUCUUCCUCAACAAGAUGGGGAACAGGUCAUCAGUAGUUGCACGUAGAUAAAAAAAAUAACCUCGUCGAUGGCAGGUUCAUUGCAGUCAUAAACAUUUCCUUCCAAGAGUAGUAUCUCAACAUCCCAAUAAUGUAUGUCGUUCACACUCAUGACUGCAAGAAUCCUCUUUGCCUCAGUCCAGCUCUUGCCUUGUGGAUUUGGCCUCUCUCCUCUAAUAUAUUUUAUCAUUUCUUCUUCAUCUAGUCCAACAGAGAAACUUACGAAUCAAAUCCCAUGCCACAGGAUGACUCUAGAUCAUUAAGUUUAUCGUACUUAUCCUUGAGCUUCUUUUAGAAGUCGAGGUCCAUUAUCCUAUCGAUAGUGUCAUAAGCUUCUGGGUACGCAAAUUGCCUUUUCCUCAUGAGGCAAAGAAUUUUGUCAACAUACUAUGAUAUAAGAAGUCAAUUUUUAAAUAGGUUAGUAAUUGUAAAGAUGCAACGGAUGGUCCAUCUGUUGCAUAGGAUUCUCUGAAUCAAUAAUCCAAUGCAACUUAUGCAACGGAUAAUAAGUUGCAACAGAACCACUACUAAUUGGACCAGAAUACCCAGUUGUUGCAACAUAUUUCACAUCUGUUGCAUAACUUCUUCUUCAUGCAGUUGAUUAGAAAGCUAGGUUAGGAAAAGUAAACUUACCUUGUCCUCGUACCGCAUACAUAUAUCUGUUAUAAUAUGGAAAUAUUUGAGGGGAAAGGGAGGCCUAGGGUAAUCUAGUACGCCUUGCUUGGUAUUAUUUGCCCAUCGCAAAUCCCUCUUCUCUUUGGCGCCAAGCUUCGCAUAUAUGUCAACCUUCUUCAAUGGACCCUGGACUUUAAAUUUUUUUAUUUUCGAUAGGAAAGUACGUCACUAAUUGCUCUUUUCUUCCUCCUAACUGUUGUUGUAGGAGUGUAUAGCUCCCUUACCUUCUUGGCUGGUAUGACAACCCUCUUGGAUUUGAAUUUCUUGAUAGCUUUAGUGAUAGACUCCACCUUUUCAAAUAGUUUAUCCUAGCUGUCCUUGCACUCUUUGCAUUUGCAACGAGAACACGAGGGUGAAGAGAGAUAAGAGGGACCGGUGUAAGGGUGAGAGGGACCUGUGUAAGGGUGAGGGGGACCUAUGAAAAGGGUGUUUUCAAAUAUAUUUAUUUUUUAUUGAGCUUCAAAAUGCUCAUCAUCAUGAGUGGUAGCAGCAUCAGCAUGUCUGCUACCAACACCAAAAACACCACCAGAAGAAGUACCUGAAUCUGCGUCAGUAAGUUGGUCAUGAAGAGCCUCAACAUUAGGCUGACCUUGCCUAAUUGCUCUUCUUAUGAUUGUUGCUCCAUCUAAUUCCUUCUUUAUUAACUCCACUGUUGGGUCUGCUAUAGUAUCAACAUGACCUAGAAUAAUAAAAGAAGUCAUCCCCAUCUCCUGCUUAGUAGGCAUGAUCCAUUGAUGCACAACCUAUAAAAAAGAUAGAUACAAUUAAAUUAUAUAAUAUAAUAAUUUUCACAUUUGGGUUACAUAUUAACAUAGACAACUUAUGCAACAGAUGAUUUGUAUGUCACAACAGAUUAAGAGUAUGUUGCAUCAUAUUACACAUCUGUUACAUAGUUUGCAGUAGAUGGUUAAAUCCGUUUGAGUCUGGUUCAGAGAACCAGAGCAACAGAUGGAUAAUCUGAUGCAAAAUAUCAAUCAUCUGUCAUAACAGAUUACUAAUUUGUUGCACCAACUGGAAUAAGACGGUUAAUCUGUUGGGUUAAAUGUUAUACAACAGAUGAUUUGUAUGUCAUAAUAUAUUAAUAAUAUGUUAUAUCAGAUUACCUAUUUGUUGCAUAAUUUGCAAUAGAUGGUUAAUCUAUUAAGAGUCAGGUUUAGAGAACCAAAGCAACAGAUGCGUAAUCUGAUGCAAGGUAUCAAUCAUCUGUCAUAACAGAUUACCUAUCUGUUACACCAGUUGGCAUAGGAUGGGUAAUAUGUCACAACAUAUUUCCCAUUUGGUGCAUCAGAUAUAACAUCUGUUGCACCAGAUGUAAUAUCUAUUCAAUAUGUUUCAUUGAGUCAAAUUAUUUUACUUGAAGAAGACAUACUGCAUCAUUUGGAGGGUUAAAGAGAUCAAUCUCCUUAAUUCUUGUGUUGUUCUUUGCAGCGAACCACCUAAACAUCCUUGGAUGAGAAACUUUAUCUGGUAAUCCAUUACCUUCUUUCGAGGGGGAGGAAUGGCUUCAAAUGCCCAAGUCUUAAAGAUGUAAACAGAAAGCAAGCAAAAAAAAGUCAUAAUAACUAUAUUCAAUAUAAAUUAAUGGAUGAGAAAAAAUAGUGAUUAAUUUUACCAUGAUAUCCCAAGGAAAGUCGUAUAAUAUAGUUGUCCCUAGGGAUAGCUUUGUCAGUAAAUAUUAGACAGCCAAGUAGAAGAUGUCAUAUCCCCAGGGAUAAUUGUUGAAUUUAUCAAAAUCCUCAGCACGAGCCAACAAAUCAUCUUCUAUGACCUUGUUGAUGUCUCUUGCCAAUAUAAUCUAAUGGGUAAACCAAACUAAGCACAAUUUCUCCCUGUACUGCUUUGGUAUGGUUUUAUCAUUGAGAUCUAUUAUCAAAUUCGAUGCUUUGUAGCCACGUCCAGCAAUGUCCAACAACCCAUCUAUUUUUUUCUUACAUUUGUUAGUUUUUCUGGGUUGUUUGGUUGUCUUGCUUGCCUUGGUGAUAGGUUCUUUUGGAUGAUCGCAUCUCAAGCCCGUCAUUAUGGAAAACUCUCGCAAGCCAAAACAAACUGGUAUGCCAUAGUAGUUGAUCCAGAUUUCAUCCAUAUUAUUUUUGGCCCCCCUCUUCCGAAUCUUUAUCAUCCCCAACAUACUUGAUCAUGUGCUUGAGAAGACCAUAUACCAUCCUCAUUUGGAAAUGAGCAGGGGGGUCCUCGGGCAGCUCAAGAAAGCGUCCAAAGACUCUCCUCUUAAAAAGUCCGUCUAUAUUUUCCUUCUUCGUAAUAUUCGCAAAAUAAUUAAAAAUUUUCUGCAACUGACAUUUAAGUACAAGUUCACUAGUUAGUUCUACUGCAGGGUCAUCUAUCGGUAUCGCAACUUGAAACCUGUCAAUACUAAUAGUUUUGACAGGAUCAUGCUGGGAUGUCGAUAUUAAUUUGCGCCCCAUUGGUGAUCCAUUAUCAUAAUGUUGAUGAUUAUCCUCUUUAUUACUCUCUAGUUCCUUCUCUUUCUCACUUUCAUUUUCUUCAUCACCAUCUGCAGACCCUUGUCCACCUUCUUCAAUAAUAUUUUCAUAUCUCUCCUCAACUCUACUUUUCCCUAAUUAAGAUUGUUCAGAAAGUUCCUUCAAAUCCCUCUGUACUGUAGCCUUUGUUAUUGGAUGGUCAGAAGUUUAUCUACUUUCACUUUCUUUUCUUUUGAGAGACAUGUUUUACCUACAAACAACAGAAAAAAUUACAUUAUAAUUGAUGUAUGCAUAAAUUUUUAAAAAUAUAUUACAAACACCACCAAUACCGACACACCAACAGCCACCACCACAAACACAACCAACCAAUGCCACAAACACCAUGAAUACCGACACCACCAACAACCACCACAAACACCAACAACUAAUGCCACCAACAGCCACUACAGACGCCACCACUACCAUCACGACCACUACUAAAACCACCACCACGACCACCAACACCACAAACACCAUCCAACAAUACCACGAUAGUCAACGGAACACUGUGAUAAAAACUAAGGUUUUCUCGAGUUCUUCUUACUAUUUUAUCGUCAAAACUCAAAAUUCUAAACCCAUUCUCAAAGAUAAUACAACUAAAAGUCUUUUUUUUCAUUAUUAACUUAAAAUCCCUUAUUUUUUUAGAAAAAAUAACAAAUAUAGAACUCUUAUCAAACUCUGUUACAUAUGAAGACAGAAAAAUGACUGAUACAAGCAAGAAUGAAGUCGAUAAUAACACCUAUGUGGAGGAAAAUAAGAAGAAAAUUGAUCUUUUGUGAAGGAUUAAGCAAUUUUUUGAGUAGUUGUUGUAUUGUUGAGAGGGAGAAAGGAGCGAGAACUCAAGAUUUGAAAUGAUGAAACAUUUUUCUCACAAAUGGAUAAUUUGUAUGGGUUGAUUUGUAUUUUGGAAAAGAUUGACAAGUUUUGAAAAUGUUAAUUUGGUCUGAAUUGAUCUUAAUUAUUUUUUAAAAUUAUAUAAGAUAUGUGUAAUUUUUAACCCUCUCAUCAUGCGAUUGCCAAAAGACUCAUUUGAAGUUGUAGUUGACCUUGUGAGAGCUCACCCCUAGCCCUAGAUUAAUCAAUUAAAGCAUUAGUGGAACAUAUGAACUCAAUUGAAAUUGUAUAAAAACAAAUGUUCAACCUGUUGCAACAGAUUACCCAUUUGUUGGAAUUAAUCAAACAUAUUAAGUCAUCUAUUGCAACAGAUUACCCAUCUGUUGUAAAUUAUCAAAUAGGUGUUUCCAUCUGUUGUAGUUGACCCUAAAAUCAAUUAAGGUAUUAGUUGAACAUAUUAGGUAAUGAGAAUUACUUCACCUCAGAGUGAUUGAUCUACGACUCUGAUCGGGAGGAACGUAAUACCAUAUCAUCAUGCAUUUGUCAAAAAACUCAAUUGAAGUUGUAGUUGACCCUAUGAGAAAUCAUCCCUAGUCCUAUAUUGAUUAAUUAAGGUAUUAGUUGAACAUAUAAGGUAAUAAGAAUCGAUUCAGCUCAAAGUGAUCGAUUGAUGAUCCUGGUCAGGAGGAACGCAACACCGUCUCAUCAUGCAAUUGCCAAAAGACUCAAUUAAAGUUGUAGUUGACCCUAUGAGAACUCACCCCUAGUGCUAGAUUAAUCAAUUAAGAUGUUAGUUGAACAUAUGAACUCAAUUGAAAUUGUAUAAAAACAAAUAUUCAACCUAUUAUAAUAGAUGACCCAUCUGUUGAAAUUAAUCAAACAGAUUAAGUCAUCUAUUACAAUAAAUUACCCAUCUGUUGUAAAUUACCAAAUAGGUGUUAUCAUCUGUUGUAGUUGACCCUAUGUCAAUUAAGGUAUUAGUUGAACAUAUUAGGUAAUAACAAUCAGUUCACCUUAGAGUGAUCGAUUAACGACUCUGGUCGGGAGGAACGCAAUACCAUCUCAUCAUACAUUUACCAAAAGACUCAGUUGAAGUUGUAGUUGACCUUAUAAGAACUCACCGCUAGUCCUAUAUUAAUUAAUUAAGUUAUUAGUUAAACAUAUAAGGUAAUAAGAAUCGAUUCAACUCAGAGUGAUCGAUCGACGACUCUGGUCGGGAGGAACGCAAUACCGUCUCAUCAUGUGAUUGCCAAAAGACUCAAUUGAAGUUGUAGUUGACCCUAUGAGGACUCACCCCUAGUACUAGAUUAAUCAAUUAAGGCGUUAAUUGAACAUAUAAACUCAAUUGAAAUUGUAUUAAAAUAAAUAUUCAACCUAUUGCAACAGAUGACCAAUCUGUUGAAAUUAAUCAAACAGAUUAAGUCAUCUGUUAUAACAGAUUACCUAUUUAUUGGAGUUAAUCAAAAAAAUAAAGUCAUUUGUUACAACAAAUUACCCAUAUCAAAUAGGCACUGCCAUCUAUUGUAGUUGACCCUAUUAUCAAUUAAGUUAUUAGUUGAACAUAUUAGGUAAUAAGAAUCGCUUCACCUCACAGUGAUCGAUCGACGACUCUGAUCGAGAGGAAUGCAAUAUCGUCUCAUUAUGCAUUUGCCAAAAGACUCAAUUAAAGUUGUAGUUAACCCUAUGAGAACUCACCCCUAGUCCUAAAUUGAUCAAUUAAGGUAUUAGUUUGACAUAUUAGGUAAUAAGUAUCGAUUCAUCUCAGUGUGAUCGAUCAACGACUCUGGUCGGGAGGAACGCAAUACCGUCUCAUCAUAAAAUUACCAAAAGACUCAAUUGAAGUUGUAGUUGACCCUAUGAGAACUCACCCCUCGUCCUCUAUUGAUCAAUUUAGGUAUUAGUUUAACAUAAAAGGUAAUAAGAAUAGAUUCAGCUCAGAGUGAUCGAUUGAAGACUCUAGUCGGGAGGAAUGCAAAACCAUCUCAUCAUGAGAUUGCCAAAAAACUCAAUUGAAGUUGUAUUUGACACUAUGAGAACUCACCCCUAGUCCUAGAUUAAUCAAUUAAGGCAUUAGUUGAACAUAUGAAUUCAAUUGAAAUUGUAUAAAAACAAAUGCUCAACCUAUUACAACAGAUUACCUAUCUAUUGAAAUUAAUCAAACAAAUUAAGUAAUCGGUUGUAACAGAUUACCCAUCUUUUUUAAAUCAAAUAUUGCGAUAGAUGACCGAGCUUUGGAAAUUUUCAAACAGAAAUUGUCAUCUGUUGCAAAGUAUGACUUUGAUUUUUUAAGAUUCUUUUUCUAAAGCAAUUUAGGUAUUUCCUGUCCGAGAUAAAAAAGAUAAAAUACCAAGGCGGUAAAAAAUAUUACUUGAAUAACUCAAAAAUCUCCUCAGUGAGUAGGCUUAUCUGGUCUUUUCAUUGUCACUGUCUCCCCGUGCCUCCCAAAAGUUAUCAAUGAAUAUUUAAAACUCAUAUCUACUCCUUCCAUUUUAUUUUAGUUGACCCUCUUUCUAAAAAUAUUUGUUUCAAUUUAAUUUAGUUGUUCCAAUGAUGAAAUCAAGAGGAUUUUAAUAUGUUCUUCCAAUAAUAUCCUUAUCAUUAAAUGAAUAAACAAGUUGUAUACAUUAAAAUUUAUAUUUUCAAAGCAUAAUUAAUAAGGGUAAUUUGGUAAAUAGAUCCCUAAUAAAUAUUUUUCUUAAUAGAUGUGCCAAGUCUAUAGGGCCAACUCAACUAAUAUGAAACGAAGGGAGUAGAAUACUCUCUCCUUCAGCCAUAAACUCGAGACGAGAAAUUCAACUCAUCUCUUUCUCUUUUGUUUAUUCUCAUUCUCUUUCUUUCUUUUUUUCCUUUUUUUUAUCUCUUGUUUUGGAUGAGGAUCCUUGCAAAUCUCAACCUAUCAAUAUCUUUUCUCGACUGAACUGGAUGUUUUGAUCCCUUUUCUUUUUUGACAUCGCAGGUAUGGUUCACUAUUGCUCUUCUUUCUCAUCUUCUUCUUUGUAUGUUAUUUAAAUUAGAUAUUUACCUUUGUUUCUAUUAAUGAUUUACCCAUUAACAGUUUACUAUUUAUUGAGAAAAUUAAAGGAAAGGUGACUUUUAAGUAUUGAAUGAACGAAUAGUUAUUUUUAUAAAAAUAUGCAAAAAAAGUCAUCUUCUGUGAGAACUUUAAAAGUCUUGUUAUUAGUAUAAGUUUUUAUCUCUUUUGUUUGUUAUUUUGAUAGUGCUGUUGUUGGGGGUGGUGGUGGCAUUGGAACAUAUGAUGUUUGUGUUAUUGAUGGUGUUGGAACAUAUGGUGUUGUUUUUUUGUUGUUAAUGCUAUUGGUGGUGGUGUUGCAACAGUUUCCUCAACUGUUGCAAUCGAUGAAUCAGUUGUUGGAACAGACGAAGCAACUGUUUGAAGAAAUCAAACCAGUAGCAAGACUGGUUUGAUUUAUUCUAAUAGACGACCCAUUUGUUGUAACAUGUCAUCCAUCUGUUACAAUAGAUGCCUCAUCGGUUGAAUAAAUGGGGAAUCUGUUGCAUCAGAUUGGUAAUCUAUUAAUUUAUUCAAUUUUGUGUUACCCUUUUGUAAUGUUUUUUUUGUUCUUCUCUUGUUUGACAUCAGAUGUAUUACUCUUGCUUGCAGAUAAAAGGAAGUGAAACUGGAUCAAAUUUUGCCCGACCAACAUUAAAGGCUAGAGUAAAGAUGGGUUCAGAGGAAUAAGUUGCUUAUAGAAGGAACCACUUCAUAGGUAGGAGGUAGGUAUUAAUGAUCAACCUAUCGUGAAAACACACAUCUAGAACAAUGAUUUUGUGAAUAUUGAUUCUUUACCUAUUAGGCAUUAAUACUUCAAACAAGAUAUGACAUUUUACAAUUAAGAUUUUUAGGUUCGAACUGGUAAGGCUGAGGGACCAAGUAGGUAGUGUCGAUACCCUGUUAUGGUUUAAUGAAGAUUUUGCUAAUGUUUAUGUGUCAAGUUUGGAGAUAAGGGUUAAGGUUUUUGGAGGUAGUGUAAACAUUCAAAUAGCGAUUGUACUGACUUUAAGGGUUCAAUGGACUUUUGAAAGGACUCCAAAGCCUCGCACUGCUACAAACAAGAAUAGAAAUGAAUAUAGUUUUUGCUCUGGUCCAAAUUUAUAUGGAUAGAUUGCUCGAGGAGACUAUUAUACAGUAGAAGGUUAAUGUAAGAAAACAAGUGUGGGAAGGUGAAGGUGUAAAAGACCAUAUAUCAAAUUAGACCUUAUUAAAGAAGAAACAUAGGGUAGGAAGGGAAGUGUAGCAAAACUGGCUGAUGAAAUUGACAUGAAAAUGAAAAAAUUGAAUGAGCUGUGAAUAUGAAAUUGUAUCCAAAAAAUGAAAAUCCAUCAGUCGUUCUUGAAAAAGAAAAAUUCUCAAAUAAACUGGAGUUGUGCACUUUAUUAGGGUGCUACAACUAGCUAGUGUGGCCUGAUGAAAGACCUACAAAAUACAGGACCAGAACUCUAUGAAAGAAGAUUUGUGAGCACGAAAGAUGGUAAGAUUGUCGGUCAGAAUUAAAACCUGAACCAACUACUCCUGAAUUUAAAAUAAGGGAUCAAUCCAAGGUGGAAAUUUCUCAAGUCAAACUUCCAUCCCAUGCCUCCUGUUUAUGGCUCUGGUCAGGUCAAAGGAAGUGGAAAAAACAAGUCAUGGGAUUUCUGCCCAACUUCAGAUCUUUUUGUUUCUACUGCCAUUGACAUAAUCAUAGACACAAACAAAAGGCAUGGCAUGCAAGUUACACUUCAUAAAUUAACACCUUGGCUUUUCUUAUUUUUGCUUUCACUUCAUAAAUUAACACCUUGGCUUCUCUUAUUUUUGCUUCUGGACUUAUUGGUUCAAGUUUCAUUCUUGACUGAAAAUCUUACCAAUCUCCUGUGCUCGCGAAACUUCUUCCUUAGAGUUCUGGUCCUACACUUUUCAUUGAGGUCGCGCUCGCUAGUUGCAGUCUCUAGCAAAAUGACCAGCUCCAAUCCUCUUUACCAUUCUUCUUUUUCUUCAAUGACUGAUGGAUUUUUAUAUUUGGAUACACUUCCACAUUUGAAGCUCAUUCAAUUUUUUUUUCUCAUGUCAAUUUAUUAGUCAGAUUCACUAGAAGUUCCUUACUUACUUCCCUGUGUUUUCUUUUAAACAAGGUCUGAGAUGAUGUAUGGUCUUCUCCACCUCCCCCAUCUCACACAAGUAUUCUCCCAAGCACCUUCUGCUGUAUAAUAAUCUCCUUGAGCAACCCAUUUAUAUAAAUUUGGACCAGGAGAAUUUCUAUUGGUCUCAUCGUUGUUUGUUGUAGUGUGAGGCUUCGGAGGCCUUUCAAGAAGUCCAUUGCACUAUUAAAAUCGAUCCAAUCACUAUUGGAUAUUUACACUGCCACCAAAAACUUAAACCCUUCCUCAAACUUGACAUAAAAACAUGAGCAUAAACAGUCAUUAAAUUGUAACAGGGUAUCGACACCACCAUCUUAGAACCUUUCGUCCUUAUCAGUUCGCACCUAUCAAACUAAACUGUACAAUGCAGUUUCUUGUUUGAAGGAUCAAUGUCUAAUCGGUAAAAAACUGCAUUCACAAAAGCAUUGUACUUUAUGUAUGUCUGUCACGAUAGCCUGAUCAAUAAUACAUAACUCCCGCGUAUGAAAUUGGAUCCAUUCAUCUGCACGCACCUUAUUUUUCCUACCCCAUCAAGAUACGUCAGAAAGUAUUUAUUCAUCUGCAUGUAUGUGAUGACUAUUAAAAGAGAGGUGAAAAGUCAUGACUUUUAUCUAACAUAUUCAAAAUAGUCGACAUAUCAAAUUCUCUAUCUAUUGCGACUGAUGAAUCAACUAUUAGAAGAAAUCAAAACAUCUCCAACAGAUGGUCCAUCUGUCUCAACAGAUAAUACAUACAUUGCAACAGAUGUUGCAACAGAUGGUAAAUCUAUAGUGACAGAUCAAACAAUUUUAUUCAUCUGCACGCAUAUGAUGACUAUUAAAAAAGGUAAAGAGUCGUAACUUUUUAUCUAACACAUUCAAAACAACUAAUGAAUCAAAUUCUCCAUCUGUUGCAACUGAUGAACAAUUAUUAGAAGAAAUCAAAAUAUAUCCUCCAAUAGAUAGUCCAUCUGCCGCAACAGAUAAUACAUACGUUGUAACAGAUGUAUUUGUUACACAUACAAACCAUUUGUUGCAACAAAUGGAAAAUUCUAUUUGACAGACCAUCUGUUGCAACAGAUGGUAAAUCUGUUGCGACCGCUCAAUAAUAAUGAUUGUUAUCAAGUCUCAAACCAUUUUGAAAAGGUGAGAAGUAUUAAUCUAAAAGAAAAAGUUGCAACUUUUCACAGAAAGCAAAAUGCUACUAGUUUGAAUGUAAUUAAUGCAAUGGAUCUGAACAGUCGUGUCUUUUGGCUGGCACAUUUAUAAUGCCCCGAGUCUGUACCCCGGAUGCUACACGGUGCUCAUAAUCCCAAAGGACCACAAGCUAACCCAUGACUGCUACCUGCUGCAAUAACUAAAUAAUAAUACUGUAAUUAUGUGUAAAUUAGGUGAAAACUUGCCAUAAGGUUCAAAACUGAAAGUAAAAACUGAAUACUGAAAACUGAAUAUUGAUACAUCUGUUUGAAAUACUCUAGUCUGACAAGCCUCUACUGUCUGAAUAAGGGAUUGAUGGGACAAGCCCCCAACUAACCCCGACUACUGAAAACUAAUAACAACUAACCCCGACUACUGAAAACUAAUAAAACUUAGAUACUUAAGUAAUAAUCAUGUCCUCGAACUAUGAGGACUCACCACUAAUCUGCUGCUGAAAGGUCCAGGCUGCUAAGUAUGGUCAAGAGCCACUGCGUCUGAACCUAUGAUAUAAGACAUCAUAGCGCAAAAGAAUAGUAUGCGUCAUUACUUUGAAUGUACUGGUAUGCUAAGUGAGGUAAGCUGAUAUGCAAGGGUUCAUAUGCAUGAACAAUAACUGACUGAAUAACAUGAACAUAACUGAAUGAGAAUACAUGCAUGAAUAUAUAAACUGUAAAUGAGGUCAUGAUAACACUGGAUACUGAAUUCUGAAUUACUGACGUACAAUUAUCUGAGUUUACUGAUACUAUAUUACUGUUAACUAAGUGACUGUGUCUGACAGUCCUGAUUUUGUAGAACUAUUUUGAGUUUUGUACUGAACUGAGUGACUGUGUCUAACAGUCCUAAUUUCUGUAGAACUGAACUAAGUUUUAUACUAAGACUGAAACUGAAAUUGAGACUGUGGGAGGUAAUCAUCUAAUCGACAUACCCCUCUCUGAUCUGAUUGGGGUCCAACUUGUAACCCCAGCUGUAAGUGUGUUAGUAUCGUGUCACGGGUAAAGACAAGCUGAGUUACCCUCAUCUAGCAGGUGCUCUGAGAAUGGUGGUACCCUCAACUGGCAGGUUAAAAUACCUCAUCAACCCUCAACUAUCAGGUUGAUGUCUCAACCUACGUUUGCUAUGUAGUUCUGGAAUACAAGGACUGCUUCUAAGGAUCACACCCUCUACUGGCAGGUGAGCCCCCAUCCUUGGGUUCACUCGGUGCUGAAUCCUACUCCUAACUAAAUGGACACUGGACCGAUUUCUAAACUGUUCUAGGCUAGACUGAAUCAUUACUAAGUUGGUUAACUGACUGAACUAAACUGAUUUCUAACUGAGUUCUGAACUGGUUACUAACUGAGUUCGGAAUCAAUGACUGAACCAUUGAUCGUGAUAUGACUGAUACUAUUUUAUAACUGACACUGGUUCUAGGUAUACAGCUAAAUUAACGGGUAUUAGAUACCCCCAGGGCUCGAUAGCAUAAAAUUACAAGAAAUAGCAAAAUCUUGAAACAUGAUAACUAAUUACUUGAUCACCAUUCAUUCAUUGGGGCAUUUUGACAAACACUUGCAUGACAUAAAGGGGUAAGCAUGCUAACAUGAUAUAACUUCACUAUUCACCUCACAUGUACAAUUCAUCAAACACUUGGAGGGCAUAGUAUAGGCACAUACUACUAAACAACAUGAGAGAAUCACAAAUUCAAAUAUCAAAUUCACAACUUGAUGGUUUUAGCAUGAAUUCACAUGAUACUACAUAUACAAUAAAUAAUAUGGCAUGAAUCUUGCAACUAAUCUUGGAUCAAGAACUCAUUAACAUGAUAGUCAUGAACACAUUCAAAUCAAAUUAUGAAAUUCAUUAAAUCCAUCAACUUGUAUUUAAAAAAAGGUCUCUGGGUGGAACAAACCCCUUGAAUGAACACUUCACAUACCUUGGUAUUCAAAUUUGCGAAGAAUGAUGGAGUGUUCUUGAAGGCUGGAUCUUGAAUUAGAGGUCCCUACUUCUAGGGUUUGCUUCUUGAGAAAUUUUGAGAAAGAUGAAUGAAUUUUUCCUCUAAAGGGGCUUAAUCUCGUGUUUUGGGACUGACAUAAGGUGGGAAAAGAUCCAAUUACUCCUGAGGACGCGACUUUUUAAUGACUAAAAACUGAUUUAGCGACGUGCAGAUCGAUGCGCUGCGUCGAGUUCGCGUCAGUUCACUAGAAUUUGCACUGAGUUGGAGGAAAAAUAUUUAUCGACGCGAUGGGUGACGCGACGCAUCCAGAUCGCGUCGAUCUACUGGUUUGGACUUCCAAACGUGCCUCAAACGAAGUCAGAAAAAUUCAAAACUUAUUUGAGACCACCUACUGACAUUCCUGAUCAUGAAUUAACCUAAAAAUCAAUAUUCAAAGGUCAUAAGGGUCGUGAAAAAGGAUCGCCAACUUACAAAGGCUACAAUAACUCUAAGUAUGAAUACUUACUAAAUUUUUUCUAAGUCUUUGACCCCCGACUAGCUUUUACAGGACUAAAUCAAGCUUAGGAUUUUACGGGGUCUUACAACAUCCAAAUUCAAUCCUCUAUAAAUAGGUCCCUCCUUAAUCUUUAUUCUACUCAACUUUAUUUAUUUCUUGCAUUUUUUUCGUGUGACAUCUUCAACCACUUCUCUUCAAAGAGCAUAUUUCUUUCUUGUUAAGGUAAGUUUUUUUCGGGUGUAAAUCUACCAAUUGGUAGUAUACGUUGUAUUAUAUUUGGACUCUUUUCUUUACAUUUGUCAAUUCAUGUGUGUUCUAGAUAUGGAUGAUCCUGUUUGGAACACUACUAUUCUGUGUGACACAGUGCGGGAACUUUAGAGACAGGUUAAUGACCUAUAGAGGGAGUUGGCUGCCGUGAGAGCAACCAUGUUCAGAGAGAUACAGAGGCUGAUGAGGGCCCUGCUGCUGCGAUUUGAUUGACUAGUUGUCAUUAAUGAUGAUGAUGAUAAUAUUUUCUCUAUCGGAUCUAUACCUAAUGUAUUUUAUUUUUCGUUUAAUAAAAAAACUAUUUUUAGUCGACUUUGGCUUUUUAAUUCUUAUUCAAUUUUCAUUCUGUCUAUUUCUUCUAAACAUAGAUAUUAACAUGUCGAGGGUUGGAGUUAAGGAGUAAUUGUGAAUUCAGUAGCAAUACCAAUUUUGGCUUUUGAGUUCUUUCAAUAGAUGGACCAUGUGUUAGAAUAGAUUGAUCAUCGGUUAGGUUUCUGUCAAUAGAUUAUCCAUCUGUUGCGAUAGAUUUGUCAUCUGUUGGAGGAAUACAUUCCAGUUUGAUGGAACACUGUUGUGUUCUUCCAGCUAAUGUCCAUCUGUUGCCACAGAUGGGUAAUCUAUUAAAAAUAAUUGUGGUCUGUUGUAUUAUUUAGUUCAUGUUUUUCCUCAUUUUAUUGAUGCAUAAGUUAUUUAAAAAGAUAUUUUAUAUAUAAUAAAUGAUAAUAUUACGUUCACAAUAAUGAGUUAAAUAUAUAAAGUCCACCACAAAAAAUAGCACAAGUUUUUGCAAUUACAACGAUUAUGGUGGAUUACGAUCCAGGCAUGUAGUUCUUUUGUGGCCAACGCACUUACAUAUUGAGCACUUGUUUCUUCUUGAUGAAAAUAAUUCUCUGACUCUACGCCUCCUCUUAUAUGACUUUCUUCUCGGUUUGAUAGUGUUUGGGUCAAUAUAUGGAAGAGGUAUUAAUCUCCCCAAAAGCUCUGCAGGAACAACCCAAGAUUCUUCGGGAGGCACCGAAGUAAUAUGCCCACUAUAUGUUAUUUCAUAUUUUUCAACCGAAUAAUAUUGAGAGGAGUGCUCGUAAACUUUAGGUCCAUAUUUUGGACCGUGUUGAGCUCAAAGCACUGUCAUAGCAUGUGGACAGGGUAUUUUGUCCAAGUCAAAAACUCUGCACGUACAAGAUCUUGUUUGAAGAUCGACCAUGGCAACGUCACCAUAACCGAUGAUACUAAAUUUAUAAUCUACUAUUUUAUGAGAUAAUAACCUAUUCCCCAAACUGAUGUUCAUCGAUAUUAUUUUUUCAAUUUCUAGAACAAUGGGGUUCUUCUUGGGCCCUCAAAUUGCACAUGCCUUUCGUUAAAAAAUCGUCCAUACUUCUUGUUUAUAAUUUCAAAUAGAGCCUUGAUGGAAAAUUCUCUUUCAUUGCCAAAAAAUGAAUUCACCGAUUCAACUUUGUUUGAUGUCAUAAUAUUGUACAAAAGAAUCACUUAGUACAACAUCAUACUAAACUUGUAACUCAAACAAGACAUUAAAUUCAUAAGAAUGUACCUAUCUGCCGGACAGAAUGCUCGGCUCCAUCUCUCAAAAUCGACACGUAUGAGAAGUUCUGCUAUCUUGGGAUGCACAUCCGUUAUUUGAUUGAAAAGGUCUAAAAACUCCUCUCUACUAUAUGCUUUAGCUGCUCUAUAAAAAAAGGCCACGACCCUUUCGUUGUGAUAGUUGGUACGAAUGUUCUCUCUAAGAUGACUAAUACAAUAACCGAAGUAAGCUGAAGUGAAGAAAAGUGAACCCAUAUUUGGAAUACUUGGAUGCCUAUCUGAACCAAAAAACAACUCUUCGGUAUCUUUAACGCAGCUUCGCAGUUGUUCAAAAAAAACCCAUAAGAGGUGUCACAUUUCUUGUCCGCUACACAAAAAGUGAUAGGAAAGAUGUGAUUCUCCACAUCCUGUGCCACCACCGCUAGCAAAACUCUAUUAUACCUGCUCCUCAAGAAGGUACCGUCGACAGCUAUGACUUUUCUCAAAUGUCAAAAAACCUUAAAUCCAAGCACCAUAGGAUACAAAAAAGUAAUUGAACCUUCCAUUUUCAUCAACAUGCAAUGCUGUCUUACUUUUGGGAUUUGUGGACUCAAUCAUGUAACGGUAGGCAUCCAGGAUUGUAUACCCAUGCUCGUGUGUCCCCCUAAUCAAGUCCUUGGCAAUCCCCAUGGCCGUAUAUAUCUUCCAAUAACUGACCAGGACACUCAAUUCCAUAAGGAGUUAAUUGGCCAUAACCUUUGUAGAAGGGCUUUGCCAUCGGGGAAACUACUCUUGAAAUAUUCACCGAGGACCUUUGUCGUGGCGUGAGGAUUUUAGCCCGAGAUGUGCUCCGAACCAUAUGUGUGAUGCUUUUCAUGUUUAUGAAUGACGAAUAUGUCAGAACUUAGAUACUUUGCUGCUCUCAACCACCACUUAUAGUUCGGAUUAGGAAAUUUAUAGAAAAAGACACUGCUCGAAUUAAUCACCUUCUUUAUUCUGAAAUCUUUUUUCAUGCAAGAAAUAAACAAAGUGGUAGAUAGUUCAUUCUAGUCCUUGAAUGACAUUCCAUUGAAAAAGCCGAUCCUAUCGUCUUGAAGAUUGUUAGACUGUGUCGAUCAAGAAGAAUUGUCCACCGUAUUGGUCGCAUCAACGGGUGUAAGUGUUUGAUCAUCAUUUGGAAUAUUUAUGUCUAGAUCAUCCAACCUAUCAUCAAAGAUGUCUUGUUGUUGUUGUUCUUCUUCUAUGUUCUGGUUCUCAUUCUCUCUCGUCUUUUCAACCACGUACACCCUUAACACCGGCCUGGAUGAGUCACUAAGAUAAGCAUGCAACCGAACCUAAUCGGUUAUCUUAAAAAGUAGUACCCUCUGAUUUUCAAAGGAGCUGUGCAUGUAGCUGAUGACGAGUUCUUCCGGUUGACAAUUUAGUCCACAAUAGCUGAUGAUUAAGUUCACAAAAUCAUCAUACAAAAAAUCACUUUGAACUAUCAUUGCUAUCAUCUCUAGCAUUUCACCCUCCUUCCAACGCCAUACAUAUCGAUUGCUCUUCUCGAUCCAUUGACCAUGACAAUCCAUCCCUAUUAUUAUUGAUCCCUCCAUUAGUGGUACCUAAAUAAAGUCAUUUGUUAAAAAAGUUAAUAGUGAUUUCAUAGUGCCGUAAAUGAAUUCCAACAUAUGUGUAAUCUGUUGCAAUAGGUAAGUGAUCAAUCGCAACAGAUUACUUACCUGUUGGGAUUCAUGUUACGCUUCUGAAGCUAAUUUCAACAGACAAGUCAUCUAUUAUAACAGGUGAAUCAUAUAUUGCAAUAGACUAUAUAUCUGUUGCAACAGAUGAAGCACCUGUUGGGAUAGAUGUUACAGUACUAAGGCACCUUUGAAGCUGAUUCCAACAGAUGAGUGACAUGUUGCAACAGAUAAUUAACCCGUUGCGAUAGGUGACUUACCUAUUGCAAUAGACGAUGAUCUGUUGGAAUCGAGGUCAGAUUCCAUCGCAACAGGUUACUAAUAUGUUGCAACAGAUAUUUACCAUCCGUUGGAAUCGAGUUCAAGUUCUGUUGCAACAGGUUAAUAAUAUAUUGCAACAGAUAUUUACCCUGUUGCAACAGACAACACAUUUGUUGGAAUCGAGUUCAGGUUUUGUUGCAACAGGUUAUUAAUCUGUUGCAACAAAUAUUUAUCAUGUUGCACCAGAUAACUAAUCUGUUAUAACAUAUGGGUCAUAUAUUGCAACAGAUAACCCAUCUGUUCGAUUCAUGCUACGGCACUAUAGAACCAUAAACAUGAAUCCAAUAUAUGAGUCUUUCGUUGAAACAGAUGUCUCAUUUGUCGCAACAGAUGCUUGAUCUGCUUAAACAGAUGGCUCUUAUGUUGCAUUCAUAUUCGCGUGCUAUCUAUUGUUGAAAAAAUAGCACAAUAGCAUUUACCCAGAUGACAAAUUCAACUAAAAAUCAUAAUUUGACUUACCAAAGUCUCCUAUAAAGUAAUGCCAAAGUGAAAAGUGAUGUACGAAACAAAAUUUGACCUAAGAAAUUGGUCAAAUAGCAACAGUAGAGGUAACAACAACAACAACAAUGGUCAACAAGAAUAAUAUGAAGAUGAUAAUGAAGUAGAAGAUGAUGAUAAUGAAGUAGAAGAUGAUGAAUAAAGCAGUAGCAACAAUGAACAACAAAAAUCGCUAAGAGAGAGAAAACAACAAUGGAUGAAAAAAGAGAGAAACACGCCUUUUUCCCUCCGUUUCUCGUUAUAUUAGGUAAACAUUUGGAUCAAAGUAUAAAUUUAAAAACUUCUAGGCUAUUCUCAAACUUACCCAACUUUCUUAAUCCAUAAUAAAGUAAUUGUCACCUCCACUCAAUUAUUAAGACUUGUAUCACCUACAACUCAUUUUAAAACUCUUUUGUCACCUACAGCUCAAACCCCCAACUAACUUCCUAGUCUAAGUUUCAAUAUUUACAAUUUAUACACAAAAUAAGUGGCAAUUAUAUGUAUAUAUGCUAGUUAAGGUGUACGCGCCUCGUGUGUACUUCACUUUAAUGAGUUUAAAUGUUACACGAAAUAAGAUAUUUGUUUAAAUAAUAAAGAUGAAUACAAUAGUUAAAUUCAACAUCUUUUGGACAUGUAAAGAUGGAGAAUUAAUUUAAUUAGUUAUAUAACAGUUGUAAAUAUCUAAGAUACAAAUAAGGAAGGUGAAAUACAUCACUAACCCUUUAAAUCACGAUUGGUGUCUCAGUAAGCCGAUGAUUGGUGCUUGAUAAUUCAUAAAGUUGCGUAAUUUGACUUGGUUCCAUCCAAAAAUUGACUUGCAGAUUUUAUGCCACUUCAAUCCCUCUUCUUGAUCAAAUAGUCAGUAUCUCUUUUCUACCGCUCCAAAUAUAAUGCUUCUUCUAGAUCGCCUUCAAUUGUUUUAGCUCUUGAAUUCUUCGGCAUACCUUGAUAACCUAUGGAACAUUAAGCAAAGAAUAUUGUUGCCAAAAUAUAACUUAAAUAAAAUUAGAAAUUCUUAUCUAUUUAAGGUAAAAUUAUAAUUGAUUUAGAAGUGUUAAAUGGUAUGAUUUCUUACCUAGAUUAAAUAGAGGUUUUAAUUAAUUUUAAAGUACUAAAUAGUAAAUAAUAGUUAAAUAAUUAUUUAAGAAAAAUAGUGAAAAGACGAUUUUGUAUAUUGCACAAUUUUUAAAAGAAGGACAAAAAGUUCAAAUCACUUUUCUAAGGGUCUUCACACUUUUAAUAUAUUAUAGAUAUAUAUACAAAAAAGAAUGAAAAGUCCAUAACAACAAAUAGAGAUAAAAAAGGAAAUUUUAAUGUAAUAAAUUUUCUUAAUCUUCUCCAACUUUUCACUUAUUUCUCUGGUAUAACAAAUCAAUUAAUAUGGAUUUAUGCAUUAAUCACUCUCUCAAAAAUUGAUAAUUUUUUUUUAAAAUAUGGUGAUUUGCAGAAGGAGAAAAUCAAUACCAAAUUACUUACAGGUAAUUUUUGCAUACAAAAUUUCGGUAAAUAUAAUUUACAAAAAUGAAUUUGAAUUUAUUUACUGAAAUUCUUUUUGGAAUGUAAUACGCAAUACAAAAUUGAUUCAGUUUCACAAUACGAAAAUCGAUUCUAUUAUUGGUUUGGAUUUGAUUUCUGAAAUCAAAUUCACAAUACAAAUUUGAAUCAAUUUCAAAUUAUCAAUUUUCGUAAUUAUGAAUAUUUUUGUAUACAAUAAAUUCAAUUGUAAUUCUUAUUUUCAUAUUCAGUUUCAAUUUCAAUUUUCGUAAUUAUGAAUUUUUACACAGAAGUUGUUAAAAGUUUAUAAUCCUUGUUUGUAUUAGUUUUUUUUUUUUUUUCUGAAUCCCAUUUGUAAUUGCAAUUUGUAUGGUAUGUAUUUUGUCAACAGAUUAUAUACCAAAAAAUGGGGCUAUUGCCAAUUGUAUUGAAGCAUUUAGGUGUAUAAAAUAUAGAUAAUGAGUAUGAACAAUACCAGUUCGACUCAAUUGCAAUUGAUAAAAUUGAAAACUGCGAUGAUUUGCUUCAAUUGAUUGGUAAGCAACUUUAUAUUGACUUUAGUUUGACAAUGGUGAAAAUAGAAUAUAAAGUUGGUUGUAGCAGUAAAAGAAUGGAGAUUCAUAAUGACAUGGGAAUGACAGUGUACGUAAUGAUACGGAAAGAAGAGAAAGGCUUCAGAAACUAUCAGUUAUGCAUUUUUGUUUUUGAUAGAUCUUUGAAAAAUGAUGAAUGAUGUUCGAAGGAAGAAGGAGAGAGUUUUGUUUUCGAUCAGAAGUUGGACAUGUUUGCAAACUAUGUUGAUGAAAAAAAGAGUAAAAUUAGUCCAAAUUCUUGUGACCUUAUUGAAGUUAUUGAUAUAAAUGGUCAAGAACAAACAAUUAUUUCUGACCCAAAUCAUAACGAGGUACUUAUUGAUGAAGUGUCUAAGGACAAAGCCACUUUAAAAUCGGUGAUGACCCAGUAUGCAAUCAGAAAAAGAUUCUAAUUCAAUACAAAAAAAUUCAACUAUAAGUAUAUACUACUAAAUUAUCACUACAAUAUACUAUUAUUUAUUUAUUGAUUGUUAUGAUUAUGAAAUAGUUAUAAUUCAUUUAAAACUCUUCAAUGCAAGAGUAAGAUAUAUAAGAAAAAUCUAAAAGUUGAAAUUCUAUUCCAUUUUCAAUUCUGUUUAAAUUCAAAUUUGAAUAUCUUAUCAAAUUGCUAAAAAAUUUUACUUUAUUCUUUCUUAUCCAUAUUUUUUUCAAAUACCAUACAUAUUUAUCCUAUAUAAUCUAAAUGAAAUUGAGAGAAAUUUUUGAAAUCUAUUCAAAUAUUUAUAAUAGUAAAUAAUAAAAUAUAAAAGAAGACCAAUUUGUUAGUCUUCUUUAUUCAUUAAUAUUCUAUUUUUUCCCUACGUUUUAUUUAAUUUUUUUCCCUUUACUUUUUUUCUUUCUUUCUUUAAUUUUUCUUCGUUAUUAUUAAUAUUCUAUUUUUCCUACGGUUUCAUUAUUUUUUCCCUUUACUUUCUUUUCUCUCUUUAUUACUUUUAUUUGCUUAUAAAUUAUAUAUAUAUAUAUAUAUAUAUAUAUAUACACUAAUUUUGCCUUUACGUUUUAUUUAAUUACCUUGAUAAUUAUUUUGAAAAAUCUUAUAUGCAUGAUCCUAUAGCCUCUUUGUCCAUGAUAGAAAUUCUAUAUAACACAAAUUAUUAUGAAUAAUAGUAAAAUAAUCUAAAAUCAAACUUUAAAUAAUAUACAAAUUGUGUAUAGAUCUAUUAAUGUAGGCACAUCUAUUUAUCAUUUCUGAAAAAAGAUAAAUGUAAUAUUAGUUGUAAAUAAUAUAAAAUUAAUUAAUAAAUCAAAUCAAGUAUAAACAACAUACCUCGGUAAUUAUUUUUAAAAAUCUUAUAUGCAUGAUCUUUAGCCUCUUUGUCCAUGAUAGAAAUUCUAUAUAACAAAAAGUAACACAAAUUGUUAUAAAUAAUAAUAAAAUAAUCUAAAAUUAAACUUUAAAUAAUAUAUAAACUGUGUAUAAAUCUAUUAAUGUGAGCAUAUUGCUAACCAUGAAUGUGGUAUAAGCAAUAAAUGAAUUUGAUUGAAUCAUUUCAAUAAAUGUGUUAAAGGUUUUUCUCCUAUUAUUUCUAUUUUAUCUAAAAUUGCUAUUACAUUGUCUAAGUCUUUCGAACUAUUUAUUAUUCCUAUUGUGUUUAUUCCUUUUUUAAAGUUGUAAAAUUGAGUUUCAAUGUUUAUUAAAAUAUAGUCUUUUUUUAUGUCUUUUAAGCAUUCUUGCCCUUCUGCAUUAAGUAAAGUAUAAUUUUUAAAAUCUUCUAAGUUAUCUUCUAAAUUUUUGUUUUCUUUUAACAGGUUGCUAUUUUGGCAUUGGUUAUUUUGGCAAUCUUCCCAACAUGGUUUAGAAAUUAAUUUUUUUUUUAUGUGUUUUUAACGUUCUAUAUACUGUUGGUAAUGUUACUGUUUGUACCGGUGUAUAAGUUAGAUUUUUAAAAAGCAUUAUUCCAUCUCUUGUUAAGAGACAUCCUCCUUUAUUUUGAAUACAAAAGCGUAGUCCUAUAACAAAGUCUGAGCCUAUGUUUAAAUCCCUUGCUAAUAUACUAUUAACAUUGUAAAUUGGGUUGUAGAAUUUAUUACAUGUAUUUAAGAAACUUAUUUGUGCAUUUUCUAUGCAAUAAUUGUAGAUAUUUUGUGAUCCAUCCAUUUGGGUAGCUGUUAUAGGUCUUUCCAGUAUUUUUAGUAAAUGUUCUGGCACUACUUCUUUAUUAAUUAGACAGCUAGUACAUCCAGAAUCUACUAGUGCUAAAGUUUCUAUCUCUACGUCUUCAAUUUUAAUUUUUACUAAUACUUUUAUGGUAGAGAAUUCUUUAUCUUCAUUGCAUAUUAGGCUAGUUUCAUUAUCUUCCAAAUUCAUAAGUUCUGCCUCUAGUUUUUCUAAAUGUAUAGCUUCUUGUGUAUCUGAUUCUUCUAUAGUGAUUUUGGUUUUUCCUUUUUCUAGGAUGGUUAAUCUUUGUUCUAGAUUAUUUACUCGGGUUUCUAGAGUUGAUACUCUUAAAUUUAAGAUUUGAUUAUUUGUAUAUUUUUGUUCGCUAUUUAUUUCUGAUUCUAUUUUUAUCUUUAAAGUGUUUUCUAUACAGUUUAUACAAGCUUCUAAAUAACAUUUUUUACAUUUAGCUCUAUUGUCUUUACUUGGAUACCAAUUGCAUAUACGACUUCUAUUACUAUCUAAACCUUUGUUUCUUUGGAAUUCAUGUACACAUUCUUGAGUGACAUUCAUUAAAUUAUUGAUUACUAGAUUGUUUAAGUCUAGAUCUUCUAUCUCCUGUCCUAAUUCAUUUACUAAAUUAUCUUCUUCUGAUUCUGAAGAAUCAGAUUUAGAGUUAUCUUUAUCAUUUAUAUCAAUACUUAUUAUUGAGUAUAUGCUUUCUGUAUCUGACAUGUAUUUGGCUACAUUUAGUAAAGUUUCUUUGAAAUCCUCUAUUAAUUGAGAAUUUCUAGUUCUAUUAUUAUUUCUUACAGGACAUACAUUAGCUAAAUGGUCUAUGCUUCCACAAGUAUAGCAUUCUAAUUUAUUUUUAUAAUUUUUAUCAUUUCUAUAUUUCCUAACAUGUCUAUCUCUAUUUAACCACAGUUUUCUAGCUUUAGAUUUUCUUAAGAAGUAUUGUUUACGACUAUAUGGUUUCUGAUUAUGUUUCUUUUUAUAUUUUCUAUAUUAUUUUUUAUCAUAAUUUUGGGUUGUGUAUAUAACAGAUUUACAGAAAUUCAUUUCAUUUCUUUUUAAUUGUUUUUGUAUUUGUAUGUUUGUACAUUUUUCUGUUAGUAUAUCCAUUAUAUGUUGUGUUCUAUGCCCUAUUGUCCAUUUUAGGUUUGGGUUGGCUACUACACCAUCUCUUUUAUACCAUCUAUCUUCUAUUUCUCUUCCUAAAGCUCCAGGUAAUUUAUUAAAUAAUUUUUUGCCUAAUUCUUCAUUAAAAGUGUUUCCGCUGACAGUGCAAUAAUAAAAAUAAUCUUGUAGAAAUUUCUUUAUAUAUACCCAAUGUGAAAUGCUUAGUUGUUCUAGUUUUAUUAAUGCUUCUUUUUGUAAUGCUAAUAAUCCACUAUUUGGAUCUUUUCCGGUUAAUAACAUAUGCAUUUUACUUGUGAAAUUAUAGGGGUUUGGUCCCAUACUUAAUAGAACCUGGAAAUCAUAUGGGCAGUUUGUCUUAAAACUUUCCCAUGUGGCUUUUGCAGAUUCUCCUAAGAAGGUUUUCAAAUAUUUGUACAUUGUUUUCGUAUCUGUUUCUGUAUAAUGUCUUAAGUAAUCUGCUGCUACUACUCCUUUCCAUAGAUCUAUUACCGUAUCCCACAUUUGUGGGUCGUGUGCAGCUAUAUUUAGAAUUUUACCUUUACUACCUCCUUCUUGUAGUUUAAUUGGUUCUUCUAUUGGCAUUCUCUUACCUGCUGGUCUUAUAUUAUCUCCUCUAAAUUCUGUAUCUGAAUUUAUCCUAAUUUCCAGUCUUCUAGGUACAUUACCAGUAUUAUAAUCUAUUGGUUGAGGAUUAGGGUUUGUCUGUUGAAAUGGGCUUGCACUUGACGAGCUAGUUGGUUCUAAUUCUGCUAGUUCUUUAUAACUUAUGGUAGAACUUAAUACAGAUAUUGUGUCUUCAUUUUUUCUUUCAAGAAAUAGUUCUUUAUUAUUUCUAUAUCUUCUAUAUCCUAAGUUAUCACUUCUUUCCAAACAAUUUUUAAAAUGUUUUAUACAUUCUUCUAUUUUCAUUUCAUGUUUUUGACAUCCUUUACAUUUAAAAGUUAUAUGUUUAUAUUCUUCUGCUAAAUUUUCAGCUUUUUCUAUUAUCAUAUCUACUUCAUAACCUUCUUGUAGAAAUUCUAUAUUCAUAAAUUCGCUUUCUGUUUCUAUAUUACUUUCUAUUUCGACAUCAUCUAAAUUUCUUUUAGUUGUAUAACUAUAAUUUGUAAAUCUAACUGAAGAUUCUCCUUUACUUGUAGUGUAUAAUAAGUGAGAGACUGGUGUGAGGAUUUUUGGUUUAUUAAAUUUAUUUAGAUUCCAUUUUAAACCUGCAUAUACUUCUGGGUCUAUUUUUAUUGGUUUUAUUAAACUUAUGCCUUUAUUUUCCAUUAUUUCAACUACAUCAUUUACUUUUAGUUUAAAUUUAGUAUUACUACUUAAAGUUAAUUUUCCGAUAAAUCCUAUGCACAUUAAUAAAUUAUUACCACUAUUCAUUUCUUCAUACCCUUUAGUUUGGAUUCCUAUUUUAAUAUUUUUUUCAAAUUCUUUUAAGUUCAUUAAAAAAUCUGGACUUACAUAGAAUAUUCCUCCAUUAUUUGUCAUAUCUACUUCAGUUAAUCCUAUUAUUGAUUUUUUAAUGUCUACCAUCUAUCAUCAUAUAUUGUUAUUAACACUUUGGAUCCUAGAUUCUUUCUAGUUAGACCUUUUUUCCUAUAACAAUUAAACUCAUAUGCAUUAGUAUCAUUUUAGUAUUUUUUUCAUAUGUCUUAAAAGAGCUAGCAUUUACUAAAUCUAAUAUUUUAAAAUCUUCUCCUAUAGCUGAUAUUUAUUCUUCUUUAUAAUGUCUAUAUAGUUGAUUGAUUAUCUGUAGAAAAAUAUCCUGCAUUAUAUAAUGUCUUAGAAUUUAAUAAUUUUAAUUGAUGUUGUUGGAAAAUUUGUAAAUCUCUAUCUACAUCUAUUAUUUCAUUUAAUUCUUGGUUUUGCUCCAUAUUUGGUUGUCUUCUACAUAUUCUAAAAAAUAUAUUAUUAUUUCUUAUUUUAUUCUCAGAAAAACUUAUUCUUUGUCUUUUUCUCCUUGUCUUUCGUUGUUUUCGAUGUUUCUCCGUCUAUUUGAUAGAAAGUUCAUUUUUGUGGUUUUCUUAUUAUAUUUUUUCUUUCUUGUUUAGGAGUUAAUUCAGUUCUUUUUAACUGAUUAAUAAGUUCUUCUAUUUCAAGGUGGUUUUUUGGUGGUUCUUGAGCUUCUUAUUUUUUAUUAAGAUGUCUAUCUUUUUAUGUAAUUCGGGUAGUUUCGGUUCUUGAACUGGUUUUUAGGCUUCUUUGCCUUUUAUUAAACUGUCUAAUUUAGCAUGUAAGUCUAAUAAUAAUGCUAUUAUAGUAUUAUUUUAUUUUACAAUUAUUUUUUCUGACAGACCUAUUGGGAGGUGUACAGAAAGACCUUCUGGUUCGUUAUGAAAUGCUUUUAUUGCGUCUAAGGCUUUUUUAUAAUUUAUAUCUCCUAUAUUGAUGAGAGUGAAAUUUCUUCUAAUCUUUUGUUAUUACUUGUAAAUCUUUGAUUUAUGUUGUUAUAAUUUCUAUUUGUUCUAUUAGUUUAGAUAUUAGUUGAGUAGUUUUUACUUCUAAUUCUUUAGGUUUUUCUAUUAUGAUUUUUACUAGCUUUUCAAUUUCUAAUUUUGUAGGUAUCUUUUCUAAAUUGAAUUUAUGAUUUAAAUACUGAAUUUUUCUGUCUAUUUCUAUUUCUUGUGACUUUAAAUAAUCUAAAUUUUGUUCUAUUUUAUCUAGUAUCUUUUUAUGUUUAUUUUGAGUAGCUUCUAUUUCUUCUAAAAUUCUUAUUAUACUAUUAUCUUUUUCUUAAAUUUUUUCGCUUAAAUUUAUUAUAAAGUCUAUUAUUGUGUUAUAUUGUUUAUCUUCUGAAUGUAAAAUAUGUUCACUCUGGUUGAAAUUAUACCUUAUAGUGGUGUUAUCUUUUAACACUCUAUAUUUCUUUUCAGGUUGGAAUCUAAGAUCUAAAUAUUCAAGGCGUUUUAAAGAAGUUAUUUUGUUAUCCUAAGUGAUUCAAAUUAAGGUACUUUUUACUUAGCUUUGUUUUAUAUUUCAAUCUACUAUUAGUAUAGGUUAUGUCUAAUUCUACUUCUUGUAUAUUUUCUAUCAGCCUAGAUUGUUCANNNNNNNNNNNNNNNNNNNNNNNNNNNNNNNNNNUUUCGUCUGUUUCUUUAAAGUUUAGAAUAUCUAUUUCUAGGUUUCUUAUUUCUUUAUUUAACAAAUCUAGUCUUUCUUUAAAUUGCUUCAAAAUUUUUACAAGUUGAUGUUUAUAAGUAAAUUCUCUAUAAUAUUGCCGUUGAAUUUCUCUAAUAUAUUCAAUGUAUCUUAUAGGCAUUUAUUAUCCUAACGGUAUUUUAUCUGCUUGGUGUUUAUAUAAAUUUGUUCUCCAGAAACAGUUCUCUAAUCUUGCUUUAUUAAAUUUUAAAUCUUCUUCAAAGUGUGUUAAUAAUGUUUUAUAAUAUUUUAUGUCUAAUUCGUCUAGGUCUUCUUGAGUCAAUUUAUUUUUAAUUAUUUUUAUAUUUCCUUUUAAUGCUUUUUCUAUCUUUAUUAAUUCAGCUUUAAUACCAGAUUCUUCUUCUAUCCACUUAUUUAUUUUUCUUNNNNNNNNNNNNNNNNNNNNNNNNNNNNNNNNNNNNNNNNNNNNNNNNNNNNNNNNNNNNNNNNNNNNNNNNNNNNNNNNNNNNNNNNNNNNNNNNNNNNNNNNNNNNNNNNNNNNNNNNNNNNNNNNNNNNNNNNNNNNNNNNNNNNNNNNNNNNNNNNNNNNNNNNNNNNNNNNNNNNNNNNNNNNNNNNNNNNNNNNNNNNNNNNNNNNNNNNNNNNNNNNNNNNNNNNNNNNNNNNNNNNNNNNNNNNNNNNNNNNNNNNNNNNNNNNNNNNNNNNNNNNNNNNNNNNNNNNNNNNNNNNNNNNNNNNNNNNNNNNNNNNNNNNNNNNNNNNNNNNNNNNNNNNNNNNNNNNNNNNNNNNNNNNNNNNNNNNNNAUUAUUUUUUAUUGAGUGUUUGGUUUGUUGUAUUCAAAGUAAUAUGCAUGAUAUAAUUUCUAAGAAUAAAUUAAUUGAUUACCAAAAUACCCUCCAUCUUAUUUAACUUUUUUUUUAUAUAUAUAUUUCUUUUCAAGCUUUAAAUAUUUAUUCUUAAAAAUAAAACUUUCGUCUUAUUUAGCUUAAUUUUUUUGUGUGUGUGCAUUUUCAUAAUUAUAUCGUGUGUAUUUUAAAAUAAAACUUUUAUUUUAUUUAGCUUUAAUUUUUUUGCAUGUAUCUUCCCAUGAUUAUGCCGUGUGUGUUUAAAAAAAUCUUACUACAUCUUAUUUAGUUUGAAAUAAAAAAUUUCAACUUAAGUUUAUUAAAGUAAAAGAUGAUUUGUUGUUUAUGUCACUUCAUUUAAAACAUAUCACUCAUAUAAUAUAGAAUAUUAAAAUUCAUUUUAAUUGAUAUAUAAAAUAUCAAUUUUUAAGUGAUUAAAAAAAUAUUUAAUUUAAAAUAUGUAAUUCAACAAUGGAGUUGACAUUUUAAUUAUUUUUUAGAGAAAUUAAAAUAUACAAAUAAACAUACUAAUUAUUCAAAUAAAUUUAACGUAUAGCAUAUUCAUAAAUAAAAUAUUUCUUAAAUGUGUAUGAAUCUCUAAUAUUUCUUGUUAAAUUACUUAUUUUGUUCUAAAUUCCAUAAAAUAUUGAUAAUCUCAUUUUUUUUUAAAAAAUUCAUCAUCAAAAAAUAUGAAAAGGAAUUACUCUCAUUUUUUAUUAUUUAGUAUCAUUAAUAUUUGGAGAGUCAAAUUAUACUUUUUAAAAAAUUAAAUUUUCAAAUAUUUUUAGCUAAAUAUAAAUAUUUUUUUUAUUUAAUAAUUAGGCAUGUAUUAAGUUAGAAAGCGAAUGUCAACAUACUUUAGUAACUUGUCCAUAAUUUUAUAAAAAUACAUUAUAUUUUAUUAAAAAAAAAGUAAUACAUAUAUAUAUAUAAUCUAAAAAGAAUUUGAAGGGCAAUUGUGUCUUAUUCUAAUUUUAUCCAAGGAUAACUUAACAUGGGAUAAUAAUCCCAACAUAUCUAUGAAUAACUUAUCCCGGGAUUAAUUAUUAGUCCCGAUAUAAGUUAUCCCAAAUAUUGACAACCAAACAAGUGAAAUAAAUUUUUACCUCGAGAUUAUUAUUUUAUCCUGAAAUUAUUUACAUCCAAAUCGCAAACCAAACGGCACCUUAAUACAAAAGCAAGACAAAAAGAAAACCUGUGCACGCAUUUUAAAAAAAUAAUUAUAAGUGUAAUAAGAUAUGCAAGCUAACCCACUGGCUAAGGAAUAAAAUCAAUGUAUUAUUUAAUCCAAAUGAACACCUUUACUUAACUAAUUGUUUGAAAAUGGAUUAAGGGUGAUUACGUAGCAACAUACUCAUCCAUGAAAACAAAGACAAUAAUGAAGCCAUGAAGAGAAGAAAAUUAACCUCCAGCAAUACUAAUCCAGGGAUAGCAACAUAAGCUAAAGGAAAUUCUUUUUCACUCAUUCAUUAUUUUCUAUAGACAAGACUAGUGAAACCAACACAUUUGAGCAAGAUUCUAAGCGAAAUUAAAGCAGGAAAACGUUCAUCGGCUAGAAACAACAGAUUAAUAUAAUGUUCAAAUUGAAAGUCAGGAAACUAAACAAAGAAAGAAACAAGACAAAACACUCUGUUUCAACAAGAGGCUAGGAUAUGAAUCAGGACGGCAAAAUAAGACACCAACUCAAUAUAUCAACUAUAAACUUCAUAGCAAAACCUAUGAAUUUUCUACAACAAACAAUCCCAGCAACGUCAUCGCUACGACGCUAAUAAAGAAACCAUUACCACAAAAGAAAAUUAAAGACGAAAGGUGUUUACCUUUUUUUGGCAGCGAUACCAGGACGACCAACUUUUACAACAAACUUCCGUCACCACAAUUUGGGAUUUUGAAUUUCAAUUGCUCGAGUGUUCUUCGAGAAUUUCGAUUUCGUGAGGUUAAAGGCAAGCACCUUCAGAACCCCCAAUUUUCCCCCAAAAUUCUCCAAAGAAUCCCCUUUUAACGUGUAAAAAGAACGGAAAAUUUCAGAAGAUGCAACUCUAUAGCUAUAAUUAUAACUUUUCUACCGAUAGUUUUAGAAUUACGAAAAAUAAUAAAUUAUAAUUUAUAUUUAAGUAAACUAUUGUUAUAUAAAUACAUAUAUAAUAAAAUUUACAUGUAUUUAUAGUAUAUUUUUAUAAAAAGUACAUGUAAUAGAAAUUUAUGUCAUUAUUUUAUUCUAUAAAUGUUGUGUGAUCAUAUAAUCAUGUAAGUGUUCUUCCAAGAUUUGCACCACAUAUAGAAUGUCACACAAUCAAUGAUAUUGAAGAACGUAUUAAGGCGAUGUUAUCAAAGGAGCAAUACACUAUUUUUUGUUAUAAGAAUAUUUGUGAUGUCUAUAUGAAAAAAAAAGAAAUGUGAGUAGUUCAAGCGCAAUUAAACGGAUGUAUUAUGUCACAAAUGUAUUAUAAAUUUUUGAGGGUAUGUGCAUGUAUUUAUAUUUUAUAUAUAUAAAUGUAUAUCUAUAUGUAUUUUUGUACGAUGUUGGAUUGUCUUUGAAAUGUUUUCUGUCAUUUUAGAUGGUAACAUAUAUAGUUAUUUAUAUUUUUUACUGUUUAAUAUGUGUAUCAUGUAUUUUCUGAUUACUUCUAUAUAUUUGUAUAUAGUUGUCCUUUGUGUUAUAGAGAUUUUGUGUUAUAUAUAUAUAUAUAUAUAUAUAUAUAUAUAUGAGUGAGAUAUGUAUUUCUGUAAAUACAUAUGCAGAUACAUAUGUAUGUUUUGUGCUGUAAAUAAUAUCCAGAUCUGUAUGGUCUUGUAUUUUGUAUGUUUUUUGAAUAUGUGUAUGUGAUUGUUUGACAAUAAAAUUUUCGAGAUCGAAAAAAUAAAUAAUUCGGGACAAGAAAAAUAUUGCAACAAUCAAUUUAUUGAUUUCAAUAUGUGAGUGUUACAAUCUCUAUGAAUCCUCUAAUUCGUCUUUUAAAAUAUAAAUUUAAGGGCAUAAAGCUUGAUCUUGAAUUUGAAUUUGAUUUGUUGAUUUGAGGGACUUGAUCUUGACUUGUGGUUGAAUUCAAAGGCUUUUGAGCUUGUUCUUGAAUAUUGCGGUGUUGAUCUUGAAUCUUGAUGAACUUGAUUUGAAUGCUUAAACUUCGUAGAGAAAUUGGGGCGAUUGAUCCACGAGCUUUCUCUUGCUUUUUGUUAGAGUUUUGGGGGUUCUUUUUCGAAUUAUGAGAUCCCUAUUUAUAGUUGUGGAAAGGGGAAGAGAUGGACUGCCUUUGACAAAUCAAAUUUGAGUGAUGCGACGCCUUUUAUGGACUUUGAUUUCAUGGGCCUACUGCAUUAUUUUGACAUGUGGCAUGAUCCUAUUGGAUCCUUCCCUUUACUUCGCAUGCCACGUCAUUGACACGUGACGCUUAUUUGGGCCUCUAAAAUAUGACAAUAUCUUAAGCUUAGUAAUGUGGACUCAUUAUUUGUAGCCCAAAUUAAUGGACUAGCCUAAUAAAAAUUAAACUUUAAUUAAACUUAUACAUGUUUGGACUUAAAUAAUAAGUUCAAGUAUAUUAAUUCGCAAUAUUUAUUUGGGACUAAUCUAUUUUGAAUUUAAUAUAAUUCGAAUUUUGUACGAAUUUAAAUUUAAUAAAAUUUUAUCCCCCCACAGUGGUAUACAUAUUUGUCUUUUCAAAAUAAAAGUUAGAGAUAGAAAAAUAAAAAAUAAAAAAUAAAAAAUAAAAAUAUAAAAAGAAAAAAGAGAAGUGAAAAAGAAAAUAAAUAAAUAAAGAAAUAAAGAAAGAGAAAUAGAACUGUAAUUUUAAAAAAGUGUUACUAUUUAUUAUAAUUACUAAUUCAGCUGUACGCGUUUCGCGCGUGUACCUCACUUUAUUGAGUUCAAACGUUACACUAAAUAAGAUAUUUGUUUAAAUAAUAAAGAUGAAUACAAUAAUUAAAUUCAACAUCUUUUGGAGAAUUUAUUUAAUUAAAUCUAAUAUUUACUAAAAAAAAAUUUCAAACCCAAUCAACAUCCAUCUGCCACCUGUAAACUGCAAUAAAACAAUACGAUGAUAGGAACAUCAAAAAAAUAUAAUUAAAUCUAAUCUUUACACAAAAAAUUUCUCAAAGUCGUCUGUCACUCAUCUAGCAUCUGUAAACUAUAACAAAAUAAUACAACAAUAGAGAUAUCAAAAUAAUACAGCCAAACUUUACCUUUGCACAAAAAAUAUUCUGAAAACAGAGAUAUAAAAAUAAUACAAUUAAACAUAACCUUUACUUAAAAAUACUCCUCAAAGUCGACUGACAUUCAUCUAUCACUUAUAAAUUCAUCUAUGAUUUAUAAUCUACAACAAAAUAAUACAAUAGUGAUUAUAAAACUCCAGUUUUGAUGAAAUUAAUUCUUAUCUGAGGAAAAAUUUAGAUACUAAAGAAUGACUUGAAUGAAAACAAAGAAGAUAUACACACACGUUGAAUUCUAUUAUCUUGACCAAAAUAGUGAAGAAGUUGGGGGUUAGAAAAUUAAGCAUCCAUCAAUCUAGACAUGCAACCGAAUCAAGUUAGAUGAACAUCAAUCAUAUUUUUCCAAUAAGGAAACCAGUUUGCUCUCUAGUUUAACGUGCAUCUUAAUAUUUAUAGAAGUAUUUCCUUAAUAAAGUCCUAUUUUAAGAGUAUUUUUCUAUUCUAUUUUAGGAGUAUUUUUCUAAUUGAUUAGUACAAAGGAAAAUAUUAAUUGAUUCUCCUUCAUAUAUUUUAGGAGUCAUAUAUAUUUUAGUAGUCUAGUUAAUGUAAUAAAAAUAAUUAAAUAAUAAUUUGAAGAAAUUAGGAGUAUGUGUUAUCGCACGUGUAAUAUUUAAUUAUUUAAAAUUUGACAAUUAUAUCUAUUGCAAAAGUUUUUAAUAAAGUGAAAAAAGUUUAAAUCACUUUUCAAAGAUAUUUCACACUUUAAUAUAAUAAUAUUAACAUAACAUAUAUUUUAUUGUAAGCACAUAUAUAUAUUAUCACCAGAAAAUUCAAGUGGUUGAUGGAUUGUCACUUUUGUGUUUGUCAUGCAGUACCUCUUUUUUUGUUGUUGCUAGAGGCUGAGAGAGAUGCAUCAAUUUGAACCAUUUUUGUAAUACGACUAUUUUUUAAAAAAAUUUCUAUAUUUAAAAUCUUUCCUUAUUUGUAAAGUUAAUUCUUUAGAAAAUUUUGGAUUCUUACUUAAAACUUUUUAAAAUUUGGUACUUAUUGUAUUUUUGUUAUUCUAACGAUUUCAUAUUUAUUUCUAGAUUUUCAAAUAUUUUUAAAAUCAACUUUAGUUGAUUUAGAAUUCUUAAUUUAAUGAAAAAGGUAUUAGUUGUAAGAUUUUACUAUAAUAUUUAAUUAAUUUUUAACUUUUAAAAUUAAGAAAAUGGUGAAAAAAUGAUUUUUUUUCUAAAACAACACUUUUAAGUGCGUUGCACAUUGAUCCCUAAUCAUUAUUUAAAUUAAUUUGGAGGAAAAAAUAGUGUAUGAGACAAAUAUUUUGAUGGGAAUUUUUAUACCUUUAAUAAAUAAUUGUGCACUUUAAGUCGUAUUCAAUGCCAAUUAAAUAUUUAGGCGUCCUAAACAUUGAUUUUCUUUUGUUUUUUUUCUUUUUUUUUUUUUAUAUAAAAUUCAGAUUUAAUGUUGCUCCUAUAUAUUGGCAUAUUGGUCUAGAAUUAAAUUUAGUAGGUGGAGUUAGAAAUUCUAAUGAAAAAAUAACAAGAAAUCUUAUGCAUGUGAAAAGAAUUCAGCAAUUUAUAUACAUGCAGAAAACUUAUUUUUAAAUCUUUUAAGAUGCAUUUUUAGAGAACAAUUACAAUUUAUUAUAGUACUUUCCGAAAUGUAUUAGGAUACCUAUUUGAUUUUAGAAUAUCAAAAUAACUAUAGUUCAGGGCGGCUUUACUCGUUGAAAAAAUAGACAAUCGUAUUAGGCCCUAAAUUUAAGGGGCUUCAUUUUAUUUUAUUUUUAAUAGUAAUAGAUUAUAAGCUUUUUGUAAAAGAAAUUAUGAAGUACUAUUAGUAGGAAAAAUAAAUUUCAUGUAUAAAAGUAAAGAAUUAUUAGAAGUUUGAUGUAUUUAAAUUUUAAAGUAUUGUCUCAAGAAAGAUUAAAUGCAUUGGCUAUAUUAACGAAAAAAGAAUUAUUAGAAGAAAUCAACUUUAAAAAAGUAUUAACAACUUUGCAUCUCAAAAUAUUUAAAAUAUAGACAUCAUAAAAAUAUAUAUAUUUAUUUUUUCUUAAAAAUUUAAGGCCUACUUUCAAUUUUCGUCUUAGGCCACCGGAGUGCUUGAACCGCCCCUGCUAUAGUUAUAAAAACUAAUUAAAUUGACUCUCAAAAAGUGAAAUGUAACUAUUACAAAGAAAAUAUUAUAAUUUUUCAAUUGAACCCCCUUCAUCGUCUAUCUACUCACCCAAACAGAGUUUAUUACAUUCAUAACACUAAAUACAUGAAUCUUAUAAAAAUAAGUCAUAUCAAGUGAAUUUUCUUCCACAUAUUUAAUGGUAAGUGCAUGUAAAUGUUACUAACAAAAAUUGACCAAAGUUGUGUAGCUUGCUCACCUCUUCUACAUCGAUACAGUAAAACUAACGCUUAGAAAACAAAACAAACCUAAUCCUCCAGCUGCUGUAUAUAUUCUUGAAUGUCUGCAGGGGCUCAGCUAUUGCCACAGACAGGCUCUCUCUUUCGUAAUAUACUCAACAAUUUUACUUCUUUUCUCAAAUAUGGCUUCUGAUCUGAAUUCAUAUUGCGUAGAUAUAUAUUGCUAGUUUGGAAAAUCUUCUUUUCCAUUUUGAUUUAUAUUGAGCUUUUGAAACUUGAUGUGAGGCAUGUUCAAACAUAAGAAUAUUUUCGUGCAAUUUUGUGGAAAUACUUGUAGCUUCUCUGUUACAUUGGUCAAUUUUGUGAUUUUGGGCAGUACGAUCCAUCUCAGGGAUAAGUGGAAUAAGACACCAAGUUUACUAUCAUUAUAAAUAAUUUUGAGAUGCAACUACGCAAACUCAAUUUUACCUGAUUCGGGAUCUUUCAAAAGCAACCUCUUUAUCUUCGUGAGAUAGGAAUAAGAUUUGUGUGCACUUUAUCUUCUCCUUGUCCUACAAUAACUUCAAUAGUAAGAAAUUGUAAAAAAUAUUAUCAUUAAAGAAAUUUAUGAUGAACAAUAAAACAAUUUCAGAUCUUUUAUUCGCAUGACAAAUAUCAAAUACGUCUAUUGAAGAUUAAUUAAAAAAGUAAUAGCGGAAGAGAGAUCUAAUCCCUAAAACUCUUGCACAAAACUAAAAAAAAUGAAUUAAAAUAGUUGGUAAACAUAUUCUAGUUUGCACCAAAGUUGAUCAUACCAUUUUUUUUUCACUUGCUAUUGUCAAUAAAGUUACAUUUUUGAGUUUUUUUUUAAUAAAAAAAAAUUAAAAAUAUUUUUUUCUCUUAAUUUUGAUAAAUAAGCUAGUAAUUUUAAUAUUUUAACUAUAUUUUAUUUUAGGAUAAUUAUAAUUUUUUUUGUAUUUUUUAUUAAUAUAAAAACAUAUUUAAUUAAUAUUUUAAUAUUAUUUUAUCCUUUUUUAUUAAUAUUAUUUUUUUCUUAAAAAAAAAAGAAAAAAGAAACCUUAUCCUAAUAAACUACUCAACCUCCCUCAAUUCUAUCUUGACCUAACUGUUUCCCUUUCCCCUUUUUAAGGAACUCCCUUAACCCCCAGAGAAAAACCUAUGUACAUUAUUCGUACAGACUACCAGAUACUGAUUAGACAAAAAAAACAUCAAAGAAAAAUAGAGAGAAAGCAAAAGACAGAGAGUGAAACACUCCAAAAUAUCAGAUAAAAAAAAAGAGAGUAAAGAGUGUAAAGUUGAAGUUCUAGGAUUCCGCUUGCAGUUUUCGAUAACGACAUUCCUAUUUGUAUAUUUGAAUUAGCCAGGUUCUUAUUUAGUUCCUUCGUACUUAUUUUAUUACAAUUAUAAUUUUGUUACCAAAACAUGUUUUAGGUUAUUUAAAUAAUUUCAUUUGUUGGUUGGUAUGUAAAGAUUCAUCAAUUAUUAGAAAGUCCGUUUCUUACCAUUUUUAUUAUUAUCUUUAAAUUUACCUUGUGCGGCUAUUGCAACAGUUCAAUGGUGAAGAUGAAUACGUAAUUAUUCUUUUGUUUUAAUGGUUACUAAGUAAUUAUAAAGUUGUUUAGAACUAAUUCUCUUGUUAAAUUCAUGUUGCACUAAAUUCUUAGGAUUAUCAAAUGUCAAGAAUAAACUUCAAUACCUUAAAUUUUUUUUUAAAGAAUAAAUCCGAAUUAUUUCGGUCAUGUGCUAUCUCUUUAACUUGGAGUUAUUAGCAGUUAAUCUCUCUAUAAAUUUUAACAUCAAUUUAUGUUCAUGUUAAAAAUUCAAACUUCUUGCAUUAGGCUUGGAUAAUAGCUAUAUUCUAAUCACUUUUGCUAUUUACUUUUUUUUUUUUUUUAAAUUUUAUGUGUAUUUCAAAUAUUUGAGUUGACUUUUCGUAUAUGACGAUAAUUGUCUUGACGAGAAUUUAUGAAACUAGAAUAAUUGGUUUCCCGUAAAUUUAAUUAAGGGGACAUUAGAAAACUCGUUUAGGUUCAUUAAUAAUAAACAUAAUAAUAUAUUAAUUGCUUUUAAAUAUUAGAUGAGUAUAAAAUAAUUAAAGUUCAUUUUGUUUUCUAGUAUCACGUGAGAAUGAGUCCUCCAUGAUUUUUUUUUUUUGUAAAAAAACGUGUUAAGUAUGUCAAGAGUUAGUUCCCUAUGUCAUAUGUAUUCUAAAAGUAAAUAAGUAUAUAAGCCUAACAGAUUUUCUUUUUGUGUAAAAUUAUUAAUAUUUUUAGUUUCAAUUAAAUUUAUUUAUUUAUUUAUUUUGUUUCAUUAGGAUGAUAUGUAAAAGAAUAUGUGUUUUGAUAAUUUUGUUUUAUUUUAUGUGAUAGUCUCCCUCUAAGUAUUUUAAAAAUAUAUAUUUUUUUGGAUUUAAUUUUAUUCAAGAACGCGUAUAAUUAACUUAUUUGGAAGAUGAUUUAGUUGGGGUGGAUAAUCUCAAGUAUCUUAGAUUUUGUUUAAACUCGAUUGACGGAUUGUGAAUUAAUUCAAGAAGAGGGUAAAAUGGAUAAGAUAAUUUGUCUCGAGUUUAUAAGAGAUGAACAAAUGCUUUUCAACAAUAGAUAAUCUUUAGACAUGUUUAAUAUUCGUCUCAAUUAAGAAUGCGACGCACACAUCUUUUUGAGAUAUUUAAAAAAAAAUCAAGGAUGCAGCUAUGCACCUUGGCAAAGAUUUUUUUUUAAAAAAAAUUGACUUUCACUAGUUAAAUACAAGAGUUAUAAACAAAUUUUAGAUAUUAAAAAUGAGUGAAUCUAGGCCUACUAACAUAAUUAUAAAAAUAGUUUUAGUCAAGAUAAGUCAAUAAAAGCGAUCGUGCUAGAAUCACGGGACUCGAGAGGUGCCUCACACCUUCCCCUCGGUUAACAGAAUUCCUUACCCAAUCUUCUGUUUUCGCAGACCAACAAAGAGUCAUUUCCUUUUGAUUAGGAAUUCAAUAAGGUGACUUGGAACACCAUAACUCAAUUUCAAGUGGCGACUCUGAAAAUAAUAAAAAUUAAUACCCAUUCAAUACCGUCACUUUAAUUGAAAAAACCCUUCGACUCCGAUCCUUUCGGGCGAAAAAGGGCUGUGACAUCUCUGGCGACUCUGCUGUGGAAUAAUAAGAAUUCAAUCUUUUUAUAUUGACUUAUACUUGCUUUAAUUAUUGUUGAUAUUGUAUUUUUUGGCCAUAUGUGCUACUUGUCUCUUAUUUACCGCUUUGAUAUUGAUUGAACUAUAUUAUGUACUGUAUCCUCUUGCGCACCCCCUCUGAGUCUCUGAAAUAGGAUAGAAAGAAUGCAGCGCAUGCAUCCUACUUUCUUUUUGGGAUAGCCGAAGUGUCAAGGCACCUAGUAAAGGAUUAUAGUCACACAUGUUAGGCGGGGUUCGGAUCGGCAACGAAGGCGGUGUUGCCCUGCUACCGACCAAGUUGUCCCUCCCCGCCUCGAGUGUCCACUAGGGUAAGCCAGUCUAGACACCUAUCCCUAUUAGUCUAAAACUUAGAAGAACUGAAAACUCAGAAUCUGGUUAUCCCUAUAAGAUACCGCUUUAUUUUCAUUCUAUGCAUUUGACUUAGCAAGACUCGGUACAAGGGCCUAGUCUGUCUAGGACAGGUGACCAACUUUAUAAAGACCAACAUGUGCAUCCUACGUGCUUUUUGACAUUUAUUUGGAAGACUAUUUAUUUGUUGACCGACUUUAGUCAACUUUAAAAUACAAGAGAUUAUAUUAUCCUCAAAUUUAGUGAAUUAUUUUUCAAAGGAAAAUUUUAUUUUAUUUUAUUUUUAAAAAAAAAGAAAGAAAAAUUUUAAAUUUAUAAUAACAUAGUUUUACGAUUUUCACGAACUACGAGGGUUUAAUUCUCACGUACCGUUUAGUUGAGUCAUCCCCCGUGAUUCCUAUAAGACGUACCUUUUAAUCGAGUCACUCCCUUGAUUCCUAUAAAACGUACCUUUUAGUCGAGUCAUCCCCUUGAUUUCUAUAAGACAUACCUUUUAGUCGAGUCAUCCCCUUGAUUCCUAUAAGAUGAACCUUUUAGUUGAGUCACUCCUCGUGAUUCCUAUGAGACGUACCUUUUAGUCGAGUCAUCCCCUUGAUUCCUAUGAGACAAACCUUUAGUCGAGUCACUCCCCGUGAUUCCUAUAAGACGUACCUUUUAGUCGAGUCAUCCCCUUGAUUCCUAUAAGACGAACCUUUUAGUCAAGUCACUCCCCGUGAUUCCUAUAAGACAUACCUUUUAGUCGAGUCAUCCCUUUGAUUCCUAUAAGAUGUACCUUUUAGUCGAGUUAUUUCUCCUGAUUCCUAUAAGACGUACCUUUUAGUCGAGUCAUUACCCUUGAUUCCUAUAAGACGUACCUUUUUUCACUUUUUAAUAAUCGGAGAGUCAAAAAUUAUCUUUUUGUCUACUUCUUUGUAUGAAAAAUCUUUGAGAUUUUAAACAAAGAGGGGCAAAAUGUAGACACGUAAUUUUUUAUGCGAUAUUAUUUUAAUUCUUAUUUCAUUUUUAAUAAGUUUUAGUUGAAAAUAAAUAAAUAAAGUUACAUUUUUUAGAUUUUUUUUUAAUAAAAAAGAAUCAAAAAUAUUUUUUCUCUUAAUUUUGAUAAAUAAGCUAGUAAUUUUAAUAUUUUUAACUAUAUUUUAUUUUAGGAUAUUUAUAAAUUUUUUUCACAAUUUUUAUUAAUCUAAAAACAUAAUUAAUUAAUAUUUUACUAUUAUUUUAUCCUUUUUUUUUAAUCUUAUCUUUUUUAAAAAAAAAUAAAAAAUUUUAUCCUAAUAAACUACUCAACCUCCCUCAAUCCUAUCUUGACCUAACUGUUUCCCUCUCCCCUUUUUAAGGAAUUCCUUCAACCCCCAAAGAAAAACCUAUGUACAUUAUUUCUACAGAUUACCAGAUACUGAUCAGACAGAAAAAAAUAUCAGAGAAAAAUAAAGAGAAAGCAAAAGACAAAGAGUGAAACACUACAAAAUAUCAGAUAAAAAAAAGAGAGUAAAGAGUGUGAAGUUGAAGUUCUAGGAUUCCGCUUGCAGUUUUCGAUAACGACAUUCCUAUUUGUAUAUUUGAAUUAGCCAGGUUCUUAUUUAGUUCCUUCAUAUUUAUUUUUUACAAUUAUAAUUUUGUUACCAAAACAUGUUUUAGGUUAUUUAAAUGAUUUCAUUUGUUGGUUGGUAUGUUAAGAUUCAUCAUUUAUUAGAAAGUCCGUUUCUUACCAUUUUUAUUAUUAUCUUUAAAUUUACCUUGUACGGCCAUUGCAACAGUUCAAUGGUGAAGAUGAAUACUUAAUUAUUCUUUUGUUUUAAUGGUUACUAAGUAAUUAUAAAGUUGUUUAGAACUAAUUCUCUUGUUAAAUUCAUGUUGCACUAAAUUCUUAGGAUUAUUAAAUGUCAAGAAUAAACUUCAAUACCUUGAAUUUUUUUAAAGAAUAAAUAUGAAUUCUUUCGGUCAUGUGCUAUCUCUUUAACUUGGAGUUAUUAGCAGUUAAUCUCUCUAAUAAAAUUUUAGCAUCAAUUUAUGUUCAUGUUAAAAAUUCAAACUUCAUGCAUUAGGCUUGAAUAAUAGCUAUAUUUUGCUAUUUACUUUUUUUAAAAUUUUUAUGUGUAUUUCAAAUAUUUGAGUUGACUUUUCGUAUAUGACGAUAAUUGUCUUGACGAGAAUUUAUGAAACUAGAAUAAUUGGUUUCCCGUAAAUUUAAUUAAGGGGACAUUAUAAAACUUGUUUAGGUUCAUUUAUAAUUAAACAUAAUAAUAUAUUAAUUGCUUUUAAAUAUUAGAUGAGUAUGAAAUAAUCAAAGUUCAUUUUGUUUUCUAGUAUCACGUGAGAAUGAGUUUUCCACGAUUUUUUUUUUUUUUUAAAACGUGUUAAGUAUGUCAAGAGUUAGUUCCCUAUGUCAUAUGUAUUCCAAAAGUAAAUAAGUAUAUAAGCCUAACAGAUUUUCUUUUUGUGUAAAAUUAUUAAUAUUUUUAGUUUCGAUUAAAUUUAUUUAUCUAUUUAUUUUGUUUCAUUAGGAUGAUAUGUAAAAAAAAUAUGUGUUUUGAUAAUUUUGUUUUAUGUUAUGUGAUAGUCUCCCUCUAAGUAUUUUAAAAAUAUGUUUUUUUUUUUUUGGAUUGAAUUUUAUUCAAGGACGUGUAUAAUUAACUUAUUUGGAAGAUGAUUUAGUUGGGGUGGAUAAUCUCAAGUAUCUUAGAUUUUGUUUAAACUCGAUUGACGGAUUGUGAAUUAAUUCAAGACCCGUCGUUACUAUUAAAAGAAGAGAGGGUAAAAUGGAUAAGAUAAAUUGUUUUGAGUUUAUAAGAGACGAACAAAUGCUUUUCAACAACAGAUAAGCUUUAGACAUAUUUAAGAUUCGUCUCAAUUAAGAAUGCGGCGCACCCAUAUUUCUGAUAUAUUUAAAAAUAAAUCAAGAUUGUAGCUAUGCACCUUGGCAAAGAUUUUUUUGAAAAAAAUUGACUUUCACUAGUUAAAUACAAGCGUUAUAAACAAAUUUUAGAUAUUAAAAAUGAGUGAAUCUAGGCCUACAAACAUAAUUAUUAAAAUAGUUUUAGUCAAGAUAAGUCAAUAAAAGAGACCGUGCUAGAACCACGGGACUCGAGAGGUGCCUCACACCUUCCCCUAGGUCAACAAAAUUCCUUACCCAAUCUUCUGUUUUCGCAGACCAACAAAGAGUCAUUUCUUUUUUAUUAGGGAUUCAAUAAGGUGACUUAGAACACCAUAACUCAAUUUCAAGUGGCGACUCUGAAAAUGAUAAAAAUUAUUCCCUAUUUAAUACCGUCACUUUAAUUGGAAAAACCCUUCGACUCCGAUCUCUUCGGGCGAAAAAAGGGUGUGACAAACAUUGAAUACACAGUGAAUUGAACAAAUCUAGAAUCUCUUACCAUAUAUUUUAGGACUUUUAAUUUAAGAAUUAAUUGAUUCUCCUCCCAUGUAUUUUAGGAUCCUAUAUAUUUAGAAGUCUAGUUAAUAUAAUAAAAAAAAUUAAAUAUUAAAUUGAAGAAAAUAGUGAAAAGAUAAUUUUGUCUAAAAAAGAGUCUUUUAAUGAAGGACAAAAAGUUCAAAUCGCUUUUAUAAGAGGCUUCACACUUUUAAUAUAUUAUAGAUAUAGAUAAUCUUAAAUAUGUUACUUUCUAUAAUUUUUCCUAAAAUGAAAGGGGAAAGGGAGUUGGGCCCGGGUCGACUGAGAUGUAAUGGGCUGGGGCUGGAUUUAUUGCUUGUUGGGCUGAGGGUGGUUGUUGCUGGGCUGUACAACUGGGCAAGCUAACCCAAAAGAAAGAAAGGGGUGGUUGGAUAGAUUAUGUUGUUUUUUGGGUAUUUAUUUAAGUAUAAAUAACAUAAAUAUCAACCCUUUUGAAAAUAAUUACACUAUUCCUUUUGAAAGUAAUUACACUCUCUCCCACUUUUUUAAUUACUUUACUCUCUCUCUCUAUUAAUAUACAUAACAUAGCCGACGUAUACAUAACAUUCUGUGUAUAUGUUGAGAUUUUUGUAAUAUGUUUAGAGAGUUGAGAUUUUUUAUAAUAUUGAAAACAUAAGUUGUGUGUUUGUAUAAUUUUUCGUUUGUUUAAUUUAUUCAAUUUAAUUUAAAAUCUAGCCAAAAAAAAUUAGGCUGUCAAUUGCAUUACAAUUGUGAUCUAAUUAAUUUCAAUUAUGGUCAAAUUCAAUUAGUCAACUAAACUGACUCAAAAUUUGAGAUAAAUUAACAAUUAGUUUAAUUUCAAGUUUCUUGAUUUAAUAAAAUUAAAUAAUUUUUUUUUGAGACUAAAUAAUAUUUAAAUCAAGAUGUUAACCAUUUGAAUCAAUUUUCAAGGGAACCCUUGAUUAAAAUUUAAUUUUUUAUAAAAUAAUUAUUUAAGUAACAAAAUUUCACGAUCUCGUAUGUAUGGAUACGAAAACAUAUAUUUGUUACUUAAGAUGAUUGAAUUACCUAGAUAAAUACUUGAAAGAAUUUUUUAUCUGGAUAAGAUAAAUAUUGUAAUUUUAUUUAAAAAUGAAGAAACUCAGGGUUAAACUUAGUCGUAGAGGAAAAAAAUUAGGUGUUAACAAUAAUUAAAUAAAUUUAAUAGGAAAAUAUAGAUAUACAAUGAAAAUAAGGUGUAAAUAGGAUAAAUGAUGAAUAAUGAUUAGAAAUACCUUGUAUAUUAUAGCACAUAUAUAUAAAGAUACCUUGUAUUUAAUUUUUCGAAAUCUGAAAAAAUAACUCAAACAAGCAUUGACAAUUAAAAAUGUUAGGAUUAUUCAACUUGUGAAAAUGAAUUGUAAUUGACGGAUAAGCUCUUUCGAACUCUUUCGAAAAACCUGAGUUUUUAGCGAUUUGCUUUCCUAUUAAAUUUAGUUUUGAAAUUUUAUGUUUUAUUAUAAGAGAGACAUGGAGAUUACUAAGUUAAUUUCAUAAAAAUAUAUUUUGAGGCGAAAGUUAAUUUUAAAAGAACUAGCCAAGUAUCAGAAUGGUCAAAUUUAUAUCUUUUAUAGAACUGAUUAGUCGUGUUUUAUUUGCGAAAGGGUUAGAAUAUUAACCCUUCUUAAGAAUGUUCACAGACAAAAAUCAAUAUAAAUAUGAUAAACAACUAAUGUAAAUCAAGUGCAACAAUAAUACCACUAAGUGGAGUUUCUAAGGAACAUGACAAUAUAAUAAAGUAAAAGAGUAAGGUUAGGAGUUACUAGACUCCUAAAGGAGUUCAAAUUUCUAUUUUUUCACGACUCC
rnacentral:lncRNA from 1 species